AACAGCAUCUCUACCUACUAGGUAGGGGUAAGGUCUGAGUACAGACUACCCUCUCUAGACCCCACCUGAUGGGAAUAUACUUGGUUGGUUGGUUGUUAUUGUUGUUGUUGAUCUUUUAAUAUGAUGAGCUUAAUAAACUUUAAGGUUGAGAUGCUAUUCUUAAUAAUUUUUGUUUAAUAUAAUUUUUAUAUUUAUAUAUUUUAUGUACAUAUUUUUAUUAGGCUCACGGGUCGGCAUAGCCUAGCCAGCCUCAGUCAAUCCUCAUGGGCCACGGGCUUACUAGGGCCGGACUUAAUAGUUUCAACUUUAAAUGGGUUUCAAAAAUUCUAGUCUAGUCCUACUAAAUCACAGACUGAAAUAGCUGGCCCAGCAUGACAAGCUCAUAUUGACGACUCUAGCUAUGUUGCAAUCAUUAUUUUCUUAUUCCGGGAGCAAUCUAAAUUAUGCCUCUGGGUAAAUAAUUUAAAUUCUAUACAUUGUGAUGUAUUUAUAUAGUAUAUCACUUAAAAAGCUCCAAUUUCUGGUAGCUAUAUAUUUAAUGACAUUAAUUAGUAACCUAGAAAACAGUAAGUAAUGUGUUAUAAUAUGUUGAAUUACAUUGACGGUGUAGAAAAUUCAUUAAAAUGACAUUCAAUAGUGUGGUCUAGACAAGUGCGAAUUUAUAGAGAAUGAAUACAUGAUUUUAUCGUAAAAUUAAAUAUUUUUUUUAUAUUUUCUACAAUUAAUAUAAUAUUAAUAGUUGGUACUCAUACUUUAAGAAUAAUAAAUAAUGUAUUUGAUUGAAGGUUGAAUUAUUUAUCAACAAAAACCGAUAUUAUUUUUAUCCUUUUUUUAAUAGUACACUCAUAUAUUAAAAAUCAUUGAUCUACCUUUUUCUCGUGAUCAAUAAAAUAGCUUAGAUUAUUUCUUCUAUAUGUUCAACCCGUGUGGAUUAAUUAUUAGAUAUCUAUGGUGGCGAAAAAUAGCGAGACUUGAUCAUCAGAAUUAUCAAUAAAAUCAUAUUAUGCUGAAGUAUAUAUAACUUAAAUAAAUCGAUGUAAAUAUUAUUAUUUUUCCUGAAUUACGUUCUCUUCCCUUUAUAAGCUGCCGACUACUUGGGAACCUAUAAACUAAAAUAUAGAUGAAUCAUGUCUAGGGUAUCUAGGAAAGGGUGGAACAGGGUGGUUCUUUAGAGAUAGCAACGGGGAAUGAAUACUAGGUUUCAAUGGCUUUAUGCAACGAACAUUCAAAUGGAAGACAUGUCCUUGUUACAAGGUCUGCAAUAAGCCAUCCAGAAUAGACUAACCCCCUUAGUCAUUAAAAUAGACUGCCAGGACCUUAUCAACCUAAUAAAAAACAGGAAAAACGGAUUAUCAAAAUAUUGUUGAUGAUUGUAGGUUCCUAUUAACUGAGGCGGGAUCACCAACAUUAAAACAUGCAUUCAGGGAAGCUAAUGGUGUAGCGACGCCUUAGCCAAGAAUGGAUGCAGCCUGGACUCUUUUGCUAAUUUAAAUUUGUACUAUUUUCCGUCUGUAUUUACUAUUUCAACUUUUAAUAGAGAUGGAAUAGGCUCUGCAUGACCUAGAUAAAUUUCUUGUUGUAAUGACUACUAAAUUUGUGUUAUGAAUAAAUAUCUCAAAAAAAGCUGCCGACUACUUUACCUAAGGCACUCCUCGAGACACGGCGUAUUAUUGAAUGGUACUGUGUAGAAAAUAUAUAGUUCUUGUUUUCUCCAGUAUUUCUGCCUUCUUUAUACUAAUAGGAUCAAUUAAUUGUUUUAAACGGCUUAAGCUUAAAGUUAUAGGUAUAUGUAUUAUUCAAAAUUUAACAUCAUGCCCCUGGCUGAGAUGCUUGACCUUCGGCAAAAGAGGAGCUCGAUUUGGGGAUAUCAUGUCAGUCUUUUUUAUUUAAUUUUUUGACGAAUUAUUCUAAAUAAUUGCUAUAAUUAAUCCCUAAAACUAAAAACAAUCGACAGGUGUAGAAUAUGUAUAAUCAAUUUGUAAUUUAUGUAUAUCAAUUUUAGGAAAAAUAAAUAAUGAAUCAGGUGAGCUAUUUGUAAAAAUCUCUUCUUCGUUUUGGCUAAAGAUAUCUCUUUAUUUUGGGGGGUAAAUGUGGAAAAAUAAAACUAAGACUACUACUGCUAAAGUUAUAUAAUUAACAAUAUAAUAUAGUUAAGGAAUAUCUCUUUGGGUCAAAGAUCACCAAAUCAUGGCUAUGAGUGUUGUCUUUCACCAUCCCUACAUCACUAGUGACUUAUACUUUAGAUUACCCUAUUUUCAUCAAAGUAAUGAAUAAUUAUUUAAUUAUCUUCUCUAGAUUCUAACGUCGGCAAACAAUAAGUUUCGUGGUUUUCCCAUCAUUUAUAUUAUUUAAAAUAAAUGAACUUUUCCUAGUGUUCAAAAAUAAAUAAAAAAAGAUGCCCAAAAAAUAGCAGAUACUGAAAAUAUUAAUAGGCAUGCCAAAUUAGCAAAAAUGCAAACCCUGAGAAUUUCACUUAUUUUUAAAAUAAACUGUGGGGUGUACCAGGUUAUGGCUGUAGUGCAAUUGCAAUGCCAAAGCGACACGCGAAGACCCGGAUAGCAAGCUGUCUUGAUGGGCCUUCCUUCUCAAAAAAUAAAGUUAAUAUCAUAUGGGCCGAUGGUCUACAUAUCAAAUAUUAAAUUGAUAAAAACAGAUACUAUGCUCGACCUCAGCCUAAAGGCCGAAGCAAGUACAAACAAUCAAACAUCAUAUAUCCCUGAGAAUUUUGCUAAUGAUAAAUUAACUUACCGUAAUGAACUCGGCAAACUAUUUUUCCACUAGAUAAAAGUUUAUCUUCCCCUCCCCCCCCCCCUNNNNNNNNNNNNNNNNNNNNNNNNNNNNNNNNNNNNNNNNNNNNNNNNNNNNNNNNNNNNNNNNNNNNNNNNNNNNNNNNNNNNNNNNNNNNNNNNNNNNNNNNNNNNNNNNNNNNNNNNNNNNNNNNNNNNNNNNNNNNNNNNNNNNNNNNNNNNNNNNNNNNNNNNNNNNNNNNNNNNNNNNNNNNNNNNNNNNNNNNNNNNNNNNNNNNNNNNNNNNNNNNNNNNNNNNNNNNNNNNNNNNNNNNNNNNNNNNNNNNNNNNNNNNNNNNNNNNNNNNNNNNNNNNNNNNNNNNNNNNNNNNNNNNNNNNNNNNNNNNNNNNNNNNNNNNNNNNNNNNNNNNNNNNNNNNNNNNNNNNNNNNNNNNNNNNNNNNNNNNNNNNNNNNNNNNNNNNNNNNNNNNNNNNNNNNNNNNNNNNNNNNNNNNNNNNNNNNNNNNNNNNNNNNNNNNNNNNNNNNNNNNNNNNNNNNNNNNNNNNNNNNNNNNNNNNNNNNNNNNNNNNNNNNNNNNNNNNNNNNNNNNNNNNNNNNNNNNNNNNNNNNNNNNNNNNNNNNNNNNNNNNNNNNNNNNNNNNNNNNNNNNNNNNNNNNNNNNNNNNNNNNNNNNNNNNNNNNNNNNNNNNNNNNNNNNNNNNNNNNNNNNNCCAAAAAUUUAAUUGCUUGAAAAUCUUUUUUAUCAGGAAGAAUUGUCAAAUAAAUGGUAUCCGAUAAAACAUUUUUAACCAUAAUGUUUCUCAUUGAUAAUGUGACAUAGCCAGAUAAGUAAGCAAAUUAUUUGCUAAGCUUUAUCAGGUAAAUCAUAUUGGCAAAAUCAUUUUACACAUUAAUAUUUUUAUAUUAUAGCGUGGCAUAGCUACAUGUGCAAGAAAAACAAUUUAUCAGCUAAAUAUUUAUCAAAUAAAUUACCCGAUAAAUGGCAUCGGGUAAAAGAUUUAUACACAUCUCAACUAUAUUUUUAUGAAUAUAUGUAGUAGAAAAUUUUGGCAGAUAUCAUCCCAUAUAAUAUAUAUAUAUAUAUAUUAUGAAAUAGUACUCUGCAUAGAAAUGAUCUAGCAGCCAAGCUCGAUACGAGGACGGGCAAAAAUUGACGGCUGAGCAAGACAAUCACAAAGAAUAACACAUGAGCAGCUCUUUCAAUCGAGAGAGAAUUUAAUUUACAAUACAAUAGCACUCUGGAGGAACCAGCAGAAGGAAUCAACAGCCUCACAAAUUUAACAUACGAAAUCAUAGCAGAACAUAGGGUGUCAAUCUUUUAACUCUUUGAUUUUGAGUGCUUAACAAGCCAAUCGAUGACUGAGUCAAUAUUGGUGGAAUUUUUGCAUGAUAUCAUAUAGCAGCAUACCUCUCUGUCAGUAAUAGAUUUCAAUAACCUGCACAACAACCAAUUGUUCUUUAAAGGAGUACAUAGAAUCUUAAACAUAUAUAUAUAUAUAUACACACACACACACACACAUAUAUAUGUAUAUAUAUAUAUGUGUGUGUGUGUGUGUGUAUGUAUAUAUAUAUAUAUAUAUAUAUAUGUAUUAGAGAUAUAUAUGUGUAUAUAUGUGUGUAUAUGUAUAUAUUGUUUAUAUUUAUAUAUAUCAAAUAUAAACACAAAAUAAAUUGCAAAGAAAUAUUUAAGGGAAUGUCUUAUAAUUUUUAUUAUUACGAUAUUACCAAAGAAUGGAAAUAUCUUUCGUAGUCUUCCUCCCCCAAUGGAAUGAGCACAACAAGGUACUAAUACCAUCAUUAAAAGGAAAAAAACUAAGUAAGAUGUGCCAAAAUACAUGUUACAUAUUAGUUUAUGUAUUUCCUCUAACAAAUCUCAUAAAUCCUUCAAGAUUCGGAGGAAUUUCUACUGGUGGUGGUGGAAAAGAGGCUUGUUCAUCACCGCUUCCGGGCGAAGCAGCAUCCAGCGCAAGUUCCGCUUGCAUUUAUUCAUAAGCUUCAUCUAUCUCUGCUUGUGAUACUGCAAGUUCAAAAUUUCUUAUUUUCGAACGGAUCCAAUCUCUGAAGACUACCGAUUUUUCCAAGCUCGUCCUCAUAGACGCUCUAUGAUCACCAAUUUGAAGUCUCGCUUGACUGAAAGCGCUCUCCGAUGCUACUAUUGAAGCUUGAACACUUUAAAUAUCUCGAGCUAUCCUUGAAAGAACUGGAUAGUGUUUUUGUUUGUCCUUCCACCAUUCCAAAUGAUCAAAGGUUCCGUCUAGAUUCUCCGUUUCAAGGCCCUGCGAUAAAUAAAUUUGAAGCUCAUUUAGUUGUGAACUAUCACCAAAAUUAUCACGUUGAGAACCCCUGAACUCCGUCCAAGAACUAAGGGCUUUUAGGCCCGUAGUUCUUUUAGAUGAUUGCGAACUAGACGAUGUAGGAGUUGGAAUAUUUGGUCUAGCAUGAUAUACAGCAAGUCGAUGAGCAUUAUAAAUCGUUUGAUCAUUUAUUUUAACUGAGGCUUUUGCAUCUCCAAGUGUAGAAAAUUCCUCAACUGAAAGUAGUAAAGCGUUAUAAAUUUUUGAAUACCAAAAGUGAGGGCCUCAUAAUUUCAUUGUAGGAUAUAAAACUGCAGCAACACCAAAAAUAAGGGAGAUAGGGAAAAAAUAUUUUUUAAACUUAGCUUACAUAGAAUUAAUAGCUUCUUGAUAAAUAUCUCUACCCUUUGAAAUGCUGUAAAUAAAUCUACAAUAACUGUAAUAUAAACUAAACAGUUAGAAAUAGUAUUAUAAUAUUGGCCAAAUAAUUCAUUUGUAGCAAUAUGAAAUUGGUCUAAAAAGUCUACAAUCAUUUUAACAUUACUCCAAUAUAGAUUUGUAAGGUGCUCAUCAUCAUCACCAUGACCUACACGAGCAUUAUAUGUUGUGCUUAUUGGGUUCCUAUUUUCAUAUGCAACAACUAAACUUUCAUACAUGUAGUUCCAUCUGGCGGGACAAGGUUUAGGAACCUUUCUUUCUCUAAGGCCAAAUUGAUCACAGUUUUAUAUUAUUCUCUAAGCCUACUUCUACAGUUUAAAUAAAAAAAACAAUUAAGAGCCAUUUUAACCUUUUCAAUUUCUGCAUUUAAAACUCUCAUACCAGCACCGAAGAUUAAAUGGUUAAUACGAAAAAUACAUCUAACAUGAAAAAUAUUACUAAAUGCAGAAUUUAGUGUGGUUGUAAGCAAGCCUACAACGUUAGUGUUACUAGAAGCAUUAUCUAUUAAAAUCGACAUAAUUUUAUCUCUAGGGCAAAAAUAUUUACAAAUAUCUGCAACUGUGUUAGCAAUAAACUUGCCUGUGUGGCAUGUCUAUAAGCAAUAAUGCGCUUUUGCGUUAUCCACUCCUCAUCUAUCCAAUGACUUGUAACAGUUAGAUAAUCACAAUCAUUACCACUUCUACCAAUAUCAGUUCUAAUAGCAAUGCGACAAUCUAUAUGAGUAAAUAAAUAGCGCAAAUAUGUUCAUAUUCAUGUUUAUAUUUGUAAAUAUCGCUCUUUACAGUUUGCGCGAGGCCAUCCUUUAUAAGCAGGAUUAAAAACUCUUCUAAUAUAAUGCACAAAAUGAGGGUUAGAAGGAAAACUAUAUGGUAAGCACACAACAAUAAUCAUUUUUGUCAAUUCUUCAUGUUCUUUAUUUGGAUCAUAAUAUAAAAUGCCACCGGUAACAAUGUUAAUUCCCGGUUGAACUACAUUUGAACAUGUACUAGGGUUAACCGUAGUAGCUACACUUCUCCCCUCUUGCGCAACAUUCAUUUGAAAAAAAUUAGCUUUAUCUCUCGAGUGUGUCUUUAUGUGUCUAGUCAAACUACCCGUACCACUACGGUCUCCAAUAAAUUUAUGAACCGACAAAGCCCCACAAUUAUUACACUUUAGCCUUUUUUAUUCUCUUUGAUGAGUAAAACAGUGCCAAACAAGAGAUAUUUCGGGCCAUUUAGAAGAUUGUCUAUUAAAAGUAUGGGUUACUGCUGGAGGGUCAGGCUGGACAUCAGUUAGGUUAUUAACAGGACUUGUAGGUGUAUCAUCUGAAUUCGGUUGCGUUUCAUCUAAAUCAUCAUUUUCAAAGAUAGUUUCAUUAGGAUAAAGAGCAUUCAUNNNNNNNNNNNNNNNNNNNNNNNNNNNNNNNNNNNNNNNNNNNNNNNNNNNNNNNNNNNNNNNNNNNNNNNNNNNNNNNNNNNNNNNNNNNNNNNNNNNNNNNNNNNNNNNNNNNNNNNNNNNNNNNNNNNNNNNNNNNNNNNNNNNNNNNNNNNNNGGUGGAGGAGGACAAGUAACAGGUCUGGGUCGGGGAGCCGGGGGAAGAGUAGUAUCUUGGCGACUAGAUUCACCAAUUUUAGCUUUUUCCUUACCAACAAAUAUUUUUUUCAAAGAAAAUGUCAUAUUAAUUUAUAAUUAUACAAGCUAAAAAAAUAAAAUUAUAAUAUUAAACUUAAGAGUUGGAAUGAGUUUACCGAAUUAACGAAAAACUUCUUAAAAAUUGAAUAUUGUUGAAGAAUUGAAGACUUGUGAAUACUUCAAUUCACCAACUUCAUAAUUUUUCACGAAAUUGCAAUAAUAAAGUAAGCAAUUAUAGAAGAAAAUUAGAGAGAGAUUGAUGAAUUUAUGAGUAAAAAUGAAAGAGGGGGCGGGGGAGGGGGAGGGGGUAUUUAUAGUUGAUAAUUGAAAAAAGUGUAAUUAUAAAAAGCUUGGGGUUAAAAUAAAGUUUGAGGGCCAAAUGGCUAUUUUUUAAAGUCUCAAACGGCUAUUUUUUGAUGGCCAACUGCUAGAUUUUAAAAUCUGACCGUUGGUCAUUUUUAAAAAAAAAAAUUAAAAAUAGCCAUUAGGACCGCUUGGGCCCAUUAGAGCCGGUUGAACCGGCCUAGGCCCGCCUGCCAUCCUGGGCUUAACGGUCCCAGGCUCGUGGGUUUAAUGGGUAGGACCGGCCCGCUAUGGGCUUAGUGCACCAUUUGGGAUUCGGCCCACUGAGACCGGACCAUUGGGCUCAUUAGGCUCGUUUGGCCGGCGGUCCCGGGCUGGGCCCGACCCACAGUGCACCCCUAGCUAGCACUAAAAACAUAACAGAGAUAUCCUUUGGCAAAACAUAGAAAACAUUUCUGAUAAUUAUAAAGGGGCAUGGUUAAUGGAGGUGAUUUUAAUAAUAUUACUAGAACCGAUAAAAAAAUUGGAGGUAAAGUUGUUAAUCAAAAUAGAGCUAGAAAAAUAAUAACCAGCCUUAAUCAUUGUAAAUUACUUGACCAAGGUUUCAAAGGAUCAAAUUUACAUGGUCAAAUCAUAGAAAAAAAAUAAGGGAUUAAUCAUAAAAAGAUUAGAUAAGGUGUAUGCUAAUGUGGAAUGGCUUGACCAAUACCUCCAAGUCUCUAUAUUACACCCUCUAAAACAUACUCAGACCAUAAUUCAAUUCUAGUGUCCUUAAAUAAUACUAACAAAAAUCACAUGGAUAAACCUUUUAGAUUACAAACAAUGUGGUGUUGCCAUCCAAAUAGUGAAAAAAAUUGGAUUACAAAAGAACUACUAGAUGCAACUAGUUCUUUUGAAGAGGAAAUAAGAUUUUGGAGCAAAAAAGUUUUUUGGUAGUAUACAUAAAAGAAGAAGAAACCGUCAGGCUAGGCUAGGAGGGAUACAAAGUAAUCAUACUUACCAUACUAGCCCUUUCCUCCAACAAUUAGAGGAUAACCUUACCCAACAAUAUAAUGACAUCCUCAAACUGGAAGAAGAUUACUGAAAAUUAAGGUCCAAUUUAAUGUGGUUAUACGAUAGUGAUACAAAUACAAAAUUUUUUCACAUUAGUGCUACAAAUAGAAGAAGAAUUAAUAAAUAGUUUUCUUUAAAGAUGACAUGUGUAAUUGGAUAGAUGAUCACCAGUGUAUAAUGGCUCAUACUAUAAAGUACUUCAAAGAUCUCUUUACCACCUCACAUUUUAAUUAUAAUUGGCACACAAAUAUUUUAAAAAAACCUUUAGCAACUAAGAAUGAACUAUUGAGCCUAGAUUUACCCCUAAAUGAUCAAGAAAUUAGGAAGGCAGUAUUCUUGUUUAAACCCUACAAACUGGUCCAGAUGGUCUACACUCCUUUUUCUAUCAAAAUUAUUGGAAUACCAUCAAGGAUAGUGUAAGUGUAUUUUGUCACAGUUUUUGAGGACUGUUGCAUCCAACAACAACAACAAUAACAACCUAGUAUAAUCCCACUUAGUAGGGUCUGGGGAGGGUAGUGCGCACGCAAACCUUACCCUACCCUUAGGUAGAGAGGGUAGAGAGACUGUCGCAUCCGUACAAUCAUUAACAAUACUUAUUUGUGCCUAAUUCUCAAGUUUGAAAAUGCCAAUAACUUCAAUUUUUUUAGGCCUAUUAGCCUCUGUAAUAUCAUUUAUAAAAUUAUUACCAAAAUUAUUGCCAAUAGAAUAAGAUCACUUCUUAAAAUAAUUGGUCCUCACCAAGCAAGCUUAAUUAAAGGUAGACGAGCUUGUGAUAAUGCUUUAAUAAUUCAAGAAGUAGUUAACUACAUUAGAAAUUCAAAAUCUAGAGAAUGCCAUAUGAUCCUUAAAAUAGAUCUUGAAAAAGCCUUUGACAAACUCAAGUGGUCUUUUGUUCAUAGAGCACUAAAAUACUUCAAAUUCCCCCCAAAAGUCAUCAACCUAAUGCAUAACCACUCCUAGUUAUUUCAUCCAAGUAAAUGGAACCAAUCAAAUCUCAUUACGCCAAUAAGAGGGAUCAGACAAGGUGAUCCAAUUCAUGAUCAAUCACAAAAUUGUACAAGGAAAUGGGAUGCUUUAAAAAUUAUCCCUAUAAGUCCUACUCUAUCGCAUCUAUUGUUUGCUGAUGACAUAACCCUCAUAGGCAAAGCAAAUACUAAACCUACUCUCACAAUCCUUCAAAGCCUUAAUGAUUUAUGCCUAUUUUCAGGAUAAUCUAUUAACAAAACAAAAUCAAAUUUUAUUGUAUCUCCUAAAUUCUAUAAAAUAGAAAGAAAAGAAUUAUGUUCUAUCCUCAACAUCAAGCUUAGUGAAAAUUUUGGUAUCUACUUAGGUUUUCCUAUUAUUAGCUCGAAAUCUAAUCACAAAGAUUAUCAAUCUGUGAUUGAUAGAAUGAGAAUAAAGUUGGAAAAUUAGAAAGCUAGAUAACUAAAUAUGACUGGAAGAUGUACUCUAGUCACUUCCACUCUCAAUAACAUACCAAAACAUAUCAUUCAAGACUCCCAUAUCCCUAUAAAACAAUCAAGGACAUUGAUAAGAUACAAGGAUAUUUCAUAUGGAACUAUAUUCCUGACAAAAGAAAAAUCUACCUUCUGAGCUGGGACUCCAUUAUGAGGGAUAAAAAAAGGUGGACUAGGAAUUAGGAAAGCUAGAAGCAAAAAACAUAACCUUACUUACCAGUCUAACAUGGAUAUUGUUAAACACUACCUCCCUAUGGACCCAAAUUAUGACUAGUAAAUAUGGGAGUACUAGAAAUAAUAAUCAUCACUCUUUCAUAUUGAAAGGUAUAUUGAAAGGCUGGUAUUAUUGCAGUAAAGGAACCAGAUGGGACAUAAGAAACACCAACCUUUAUAUUUGGGAAUCAAAUUGGAUUCCUAAUAUAAGUAACCUAAGAAAUUCUAUUGAAGGCCCCCUAAUCUUCAUUGAAGACAAACUCACAAUUGGUAACAUAAUUUUGGGAAAGAAUUGGACCUCACGAAGUUAUUUUUUGAGCUGCCAAAUGAUAACUAGGAAUUUUAACGUGUUUUAUGCCCUACUUGCCUAUGCUUUGGCUAUAAAUUGCUACAAAAUAGUCCCAAAAUGCUCAUAAGUUGUGCUUGAUAAGGUUUGAUAGACAAAGUGAUCAAUUGUCAAAGAUCGGCUCAAAAGAAGUGAAACCUGCUCAAGUAUCAAAGAUUAAGUGAAUUGAGGAAAAGAGGACCUAGUGCGAACCGCACAAAAGUGAAUGCGGUCGCACUAGGAGGUUCAGAGACAUGGCUAGUUUGGGCCUAAGGCUAUGCGGCCGUGGUACACAUUACGCAGUCCGUGGUGAAGGCUUCGUAGCCGCACUACCUUUUGGUGCGGUCCACGGAGUAGAGGUUCAGAGAGAUGUAAAAUCCCAAGUGUCAAGCCACGCGGUCCGCGGUCAAGCUUGUGCAGACUGCACCUGUUGCCUUCGUGGCCGCAGUUCAAUCCACGCGGUCCGCGGUCUUCAAGAUGAGAUCUAGCUAAAAGUUAAAGAUCCAGUGCAACUGCUGUCCAUUUUGUGCGUCCCUCACUGGCCCUGCAAGGGUAUUUUUGUCCAGUUUUUCUAGUCUAGUAUAAAUAGAAUAUUUUACCAUUUUUAGUUCAUCUAUUGUACUCCAGACUGAGCUGCGCUCGUGAGACUCCAUAUUGAAGCCAUUUUUGGCACUUUAGCUUCAAUUUUACGAUAGAAUCUUGUAAUUUUAUUUUAGCAAUUAAUUAAUAUGCUUAGUUCUUCAUCUAUUUCUUCAUUUUCUUUCUUAAGCAUGUGUAGCUAACCUAUUAGCUAGGGUUGUGGCUCAACCCUAGUGUAGGUAAAUGAUGGGUAUUGCCAUCUAGGGUUAGAUUGAUUAUGAGUGUUUGCUAUUUGGCUUGAUUUUAUAUUUUUAUUUAGAAUUGGUGGUUGCAAACGCUGAUUCACGCUUUGCGGGUUUAACUCUUCUUGAGAAAAAGAGUCCAUGACACCAAAAUUGACCCAACAACGUGUAGCUAAACCCAUUAGCUAGGAUUAUGGCUUAACCCUAGUAUGGGUAAUUGAUAGGUGUUGCCAUAUAGGGUGAGAUUUAUUAUGGAUGUUUGCUAUUUAGGUUGAUUUAUGUUUUUAUUUAGAAUUGGUGGUUGUAAACAUUGAUUCAAGCUUUAUGGGUUUAACCCUUCUUGAGAAAGAGAGUCUAUGAUCCCAAAAAUUAACCCAACAAGGAAUUGGGGUGGACUUAUGAGAAAUGAUAGUCCCAAUUAACGGGUUAAAUCUUGAUAGAGUAGUCACCCUACUUGAACCCUAGUUGCUUGGUAUAAUUUGCCGUCCCAUUUGGUCUCGAGAGAGUCAAUUGGGCAAAAUCACUCUCUCUAUCGAGAGGUGUGAGAGUGGGUAAAAUUGUGCAAUGGUUAUAGCAUAAGCCCCAAGUAUGUCAUCAAACCUAAGUAACAUCUACCCAUCAAUUAGCCACCUAGGUAGUGUCACGACCCUAGUGCCCUUCUUCCCAUUAGAUACUACUUAGCAAAUUCCCGUAGCAUAAUUUAGUGUUAAUCGUUAGUUUUAUAAAAGUAGUUAUAAUUCAAAAACCCAAAAAUGUUUGAAGUGAUAUUAGAAGUACAAACACAUCUCUAGGCAAGUCAAAAAAUCGGACUCCAUCAGUAGCUCCCUGAGGAAAAUCGAUCCCGACCCUCAUAUCGGGUAAAAGCUAUUGCGGCAUACUCUCCCUACCUUGGUGUAGCGUGAAGUUUGCAGCGGUCACUUUUUGGCACCAUUGUCGAGGAGCUUACAGUGUUGACUCUCUGUUUAGUUAGUUUUACGUUUUGCUUCUCUCUCCUUAUCAUUUACUAAUUUUUUUGUGUCGAUCACUCAGGUACACAUGGUUCUUAAUGCAAAUGACCCUUUUGGAAAUGUCAUUGCGGGGGAGUAGGUUGAUGGUAUUGAUCAAGGAGAGGUUCCUAAUUUACCUCAAGUUCCACGUAGAGGCCGCUAGGCCAAUGUAAAUGACAACAAUCCUAUCCAGACCCUCCUCCGCCACUGCCAAGAGUGGCCCCAAGAUUUCUCCCAAAUCAAGGGUAUGCGAGUACCAUUUUUCCUCCCCGAAUUCAGGCAGGGAACUUUCCAAUCACAAAUGUUAUGUUGACCUUGCUCGAGCAAAGAGGAUACUUUACGAGCUCCUCCGAUCAAAAUUCCUAUAAGCACUUGAAGGGGUUCGUAGAUAAAUGAUGGGGUAGUAAGCAGAAAAACAUGUCCGAGGAUGCGUUGUGAUUAAGGCUUUUUCCGUUCUCUAUUCGGAGUAAAGCAUUGGGUUGGUUAGAAAGGCUACCCGAUCAUUCCACCACAACUUUGUAUGAGUUGGCAGAAAAUUCAUUGGCAGGUUUUUCUCACCAAGUCAUAUGAAGGCACUUCGGGAUGAAAUCAUAGCCUUCAAACAAGAGCCAACAAAACCUUUGCAUGAAAUUUGGGAGAGAUAUAGAACGAUGGUGAAGGAAUGCCCCAUAAUGACAUGACACGGAGAAUAUGUUGCAACAAACUUUCUACCGGGGCGUCAAUACUACAAACAAUGCAUAGUGAAUCAAUUGGCCGGGGGUAAUUUUAUGAAGUUGACUUAUGAUGAAGCUUGUGCCGUUCUUGAUGAGAUGGCAGAAACAUCCUCCGCAUGGCAUAGUAGCGCCAAUAUGCGCUAAGGUGACCCCACCGUCGUUCAUUUGCACAAGGAAUUACAUGAUCUUGAUUGGCCGGGGGUAAUUUUAUGAAGUUGACUUAUGAUGAAGCUUGUGCCGUUCUUGAUGAGAUGGCAGAAACAUCCUCUACAUGGCUGAGUAGAGCCAACCUUCAACAAGGUGACCCUAUGGUUAUUCAUUUACAUAUGGAGUUACAUGACCACGGGCAAGCUACAGCGGAGUUGACGACCACAAUGAACAAAUUGGCGAAGACGCAAUUGCAACAAGUCCAAAAUCCAUGCCAAGUCAAUGCCAUGGAAGGUGUUUCUAUACUAAAAAGGAGGAAAAGAGGGAAACAACCUCAAGGAAAUUGUGAACAAUAUGACAACAAUGAUUGUGGUGAUUUUUCAAAUGAGUUAUAAUUAUUAAAGCGAAGAGGUCCAAUAUGUCAACAACUACCAAGGGAAUAAAGGAAACUCUUCGAAUCAACAAUGGAGUCCCCAAGGUAAUUGAGGUAAUCAAAAACAAGGCAGAGGCAAUUGGAAUAAUAAUAAUCAACAACAAGUUGGAGGCAAUUGGAACAACAACAAUUAAAACAACAAUUGGAGUAAUCAAGGUAACAAUCAAGGUAAUUGGAAUGGGAACUACAAUAAUUGGAGAAACAACAACAACAAUCAAGGAGGGUAGAAUAAUAGUGGGAACCAAGGAAACCGGGGGCAAGGCUUUCAAAGGCCCCCAUGUUCCAACAACCAAACAAUACACCCCCUUUUCCUUCUCAAGGUCCAAGUUCUUCAGAGAGUGAUAUGGGGAGAAGUGAAAGUAUGUUUGAGCAAAUGAUGAAAAGGAACCAAGAUUUCGAUGAGCAAUUGGCUUCGCAUAAUUCAUCUAUUUGGAACUUGGAAGUGCAACUAGGUUAAAUUUCUCAAGCUUUGAAUACCCGCCCCAAGGGUGCUCUACCAAGUGAUACGGUAGUGAACCCGAAGGGUGGGAACAACAACUAUGUGAUGGCGGUUACAACUAGAAGCGGAAGAGGCUGUGAUGUGAAUGCCUUGAGAGAAAAUCAAGUUGUGGAAGAUGAUGUUGAGUUGCGUGAUGAUGAUGUACUUUUGAUUAUUGAUGAUGUGGUUGAGACCAAUGUGAACAAUAAAGUGAGGAUAGAUAUGGAUAAGGCCGAGGUGCAAACACGAGAUAUCAUGAACCCGUCUAGGGAACACGUGAUUGAUAUUCCCAAGCCAGUGGUGCCUAAAGCCAAGGCACCCUUGCCUAGGCCACCUCCACUAUAUCCUCAAAGGCUCGCAGAGCAAAAAAGGAUAAUAAAUUUAAGAAAUUCAUUGAUAUGAUGAAGAAUUUGUUCAUAAAUAUGCCUUCGGUGGAGACACUUAAACAAAUGUCGGGCUAUGAAAAAUUCAUGAAGGACUUGGUUACAAAGAAGCGGUCCAUGGAUUGUGAAACUAUUAAGAUGACUCACCAAGUGAGUGCUAAAGUGCCAUUCAAUGGCCCCGAAUUUAGAGGACCCUAGUGUUUUUACUAUCCCUUGUACUAUUGGAAGUGCGAACUUUGGCAGAGCUUUAUGUGACUUGGGGGCUAGUAUCAAUUUGAUGUCGUGCUCGGUUUUCAUGACUUUGGGUAAAUGUAAACCUAGACCAACUUCAAUGAGACUUCAAAUGACAGACUUUGUCAUUUUAGAUUGUGAGGUAGAUUAUGAGGUGUCGAUUAUAUCGGGUAGACCUUUCCUUGAUACGAGGAAGGCAUUGGUUGAUGUUGAAGUGGGUGAGCUCACUUUCCGAGUGGGUAAUGAGAAGGUCAUCUUCCAUGCUUGCAAAUACAUGAAGAAACCCAAUAGCAUCAAGGUGUGUUCAUUUGUGGACAUUGUCACAGCUGUGAUAGUGGAUGACACAAGUUCCAUGAUCAAUGUUGAAGAUCCCCUUGACGCCAUACUUCUUUAUAUGGAUGUAAAUGAUGAUGCUAGUAGAGUGGAGUGCGUGAAUGCAUUGCAUGGUAUGGGUUCAUAAUCAUAUGAGCCUAGUAACUUAUCUUUGGAUCUUGAAAAUCGAAAACCUCCACCGACAAAGCCAUUGGUUGAGGAGCCACCAGUGUUGGAGUUGAAGCCACUUCCUCCGUACCUCAGGUAUGAAUUCUUGGGUUCAAAUUCUACUUUACCAGUUAUUAUUUCUUCUUGCCUUACUAACAUGCAGGUUGAGGCCACACUAUCAGUUCUUCAAAAGCGAAAAGGUAAUUGGAUGGACACUAGCUGACACUGGGGAAUAAGCCCCGCAUUUUGCAUGCACAAAAUCAUAUUGGAGGAGAACGCAAAGACUUACUUGGAACAUCAAAGAAGACUAAAUGAGGCAAUGCAAGAAGUGGUGAAGAAAGAACUAAUGAAAUGGCUAGAUGCGGGUGUGGUUUAUCCAAUCUCUAAUGGUUCAUGUACUUCUCCAAUCCAAUGUGUACCGAAGAAAGGAGGGAUGACGGUAGUGAAAAAUGAAAACAUUGAACUUAUUCCCACUCAAACCAUUACCGGGUGGAGAGUUUGUAUGGAUUACCGGAAACUCAAUAAGGUGACCUGGAAGGAUCAUUUCCCGUUGUCAUUCCUUGAUCAAAUUCUUGAUCGCCUUGCACGACGAGCUUUCUAUUGUUUUUUGGAUAGGUAUUAGGGCUAUAAUAAAAUCUUAAUUGCCUCGAAGGACCAAAAGAAGACCCCUUUCACAUGCCCAUUUGGUAGAUUUUCCUUCUCCCGGAUGCCAUUCGGGUUGUGCAAUGCCCCGACGACCUUCCAAUAUUGCAUGAUGGCUAUUUUCACUGACAUGGUGGAAGAUAUAUUGGAGGUCUUUAUGGAUGAUUUUAGUGUGGUUGGUGAUUCCUUUGAAGAGUGCUUGGUAAACUUGGAUAGUAUCUUGGCCCGAUGUGAAGAAACUAAUCAUGUCCUCAAUCGAGAAAAAUGCCAUUUUAUGGUGGAAGAAGGAAUAGUAUUAGGUCACAAAAUUUUUAAGCAUGGGAUUGAGGUAUACAAGGCUAAAAUCGAUAUGAUUUUGAGGCUUCCUCUCACCCACUUCUGUAAAAAGGGUAAGGAGUUUCCUUGGGCAUGCUUGAUUCUACCGGCGGUUUAUCAAAGAUUUCUCAAAGGUUAUGAAUCCCUUUUGCAAAUUGCUAGAAAAAGAUGCUAAGUUUGUUUUUGAUUAAAAAUGUGUGGAGGCAUUUGAACUUUAAAAGCACAAGUUUACCACCACCCCGAUCAUUACCACACCCAAUUGGAGUUUGCCCUUUGAGCUCAUGUGCGAUGCUAAUGACAUUGCGGGUUGGGGAUAUUUUGGUCCAAAGGAUCAACAAAUGUUCCAUCCAGUGUACUAUGUAAGAAAAACCAUGAAUGAGGCUCAAAGAAACUACACAGUCACCGAGAAAGUGUUAUUGGCUAUUUUUUUUUGCUACGGAAAAGUUCUGAUCUUACCUUAUAGGGGACAAAGUUAUAGUGCACACUAACCAUGCCGCCCUUAGGUAUUUGAUGACCAAGAAAGAUUCUGAGGCAAUAUUGAUGAGAUGGGUGUUACUUCUCCAAGAAUUUGAUCUAGAAAUUGUGGACUGAAAAGGUAGCGAGAAUAAAGUGGCGGACCACUUGUCCUGUUUGGAGGAAGAGGGGAUUAAGGGAAAGCCAUUGCACACUAACCAUGCCGCCCUUAGGUAUUUGAUGACCAAGAAAGAUUCUGAGGCAAUAUUGAUGAGAUGGGUGUUACUUCUCCAAGAAUUUGAUCUAGAAAUUGUGGACUGAAAAGGUAGUGAGAAUCAAGUGGCGGACCACUUAUCCCGUUUAGAGGAAGAGGGGAGGUCUUGUGAUGGGCUAGAAAUCAAUGACUCAUUUCCCAACGAACAGCUCCUUGCGGUGUCAAUGAAUGAUAUUCCAUAGUUUACUGAUGUUGCUAAUUACCUCGUGAUCGGAAUAAUCCCGUGUGAGCUCUCUUCUAACCAAAGGAUUAAACUCAAGCGGGAUAGUUUGCAAUUUUAUUGGGAUGAGCCGUACUUGUUCAAGAUUUGCAUGGAUGGAGUAAUUCGAUGGUGUGUCCCUGAGGGUGAACAAUUGGGUAUUUUGGAGGCUUGUCAUUCAUCCCGUUAUGGUGUCCAUCAUGGAGGGGGUGAGAACGUCUUCGAAAGUUUUGAGUUGUGGUUUCUAUUGGCCAACCUUGUUCAAAUAUGCAAGUGAUUUACUGAAAAGAUGUUAUAAAUGUCAACGAGUAGGCGGGAUUUGCAAGAAAGAUGAGAUGCCUCUAAACACAAUUCUUGAAGUUGAUAUCUUUAAUUUUGGGGUCUCAAUUUUAUGGGCCCUUUUGUUAGCUCGUGUGGGAGCACCAACAUCCUUGUAGUGGUUGAUUAUGUAUCAAAGUGGGUUGAGGCCGUGGCCUUGCCGAAUAAUGAAGCUAGGAGUAUAGUGGAAUUUCUAAAGAAAAGUAUUUUCACAAGGUUUGGUACCCCGGGCAUUAAUUAGUGAUGGAGGAUCGCAUUUUUGCAAUAGAGCUUUUGAUGCCUUGCUCUCCAAGUAUGGUGUCAAUCACAAAGUCUCUACACUAUACCAUCCUCAAGAGAGUGUCCAAGUUGAAGUAUCAAAUAGAGAACUCAAGAGCAUUUUGUCAAAAACGGUCAAUGCUAAUAGGACUGAUUGGUCAAAGAAAUUGGAUAAUACUCUUUGGGCCUAUCGGAUGGCUUACAAUACCCCAAUUGUAAUGUCUCUAUACCGAUUGGUGUUUGGGAAAGCUUGUCAUCUUCUGAUGGAAUUGGAGCACAAGGCUAUAUGGGCCUUGAGGAAGUUGAACUUGGAAUAGGAUGCUGCGGCAAAUCUCCGUGUUGAACAACUCAACGAGCUUGAUGAGUUUAGAUUUCAUGCCUACUAUAGCUCGUCCUUGUAAAGGGACAAGAUGAAGAUGCCAAAUAUGCUCGGGGAAAGGAAUUCAAGGUUGGUGAUAUGGUUCUUCUUUUCAACUCCCGGUUACGUCUGUUUCCAGGAAAGCUCAAAUCAAAGUGGAGUGGGUCAUUUGAAGUUGUAUGUGUGACCCCGUUUGGUGCUCUUGAUCUCAAGAACAAAAGUGAUGAAGUUUUCAGAGUCAAUGGACAUCGUGUCAAACAUUAUUGGGGGAAGUUUGAUAAUAGCCACGUGGUGGCACUCAUCAUUUGAAGUGAUGUGAUGACAACAUGCGUCAUGCCACAAUGUUAAAUCAGACGCUUCUUGCGAGGCAACCGAUGUCUUUUUCUUUCUCUUUGAUUUUCUUUGUAGUUUAGGAUUUUUUGAGCUAAUUGUUUGUGAGAUGUUGCAUGGAUUGUGUUGAUGCAGUGCAAAACAAGGAAACAAAAUUGAAUAGUCUCUGAAGUUUGCCAGUGCGGCCGCGGUGCACAUUGUGCGGUCCGCACUGGCUUGGGCUAAAUGAGGUGCUCGCUGAAGUUCUCCACCAUGGCCACAUUCCAUUUAGUGCCGUCCACGGCGGUCCUGCGCAGUCGCAGUCUGCUUUUGUACGGUCCGCAGAGGUUGCCUACUGAAACUUCAAGUGAUGAAAUCUAGCACGGUCUGCGGUUCAUUUUGUGAGGCCGCGCUGGUAGGUGAGGAUGGGUCCUAUGGUUUGUCUAUAAAUAGACCCCAAGUGUCACAUUUUACACUUUUCGAACUCUAAACUCUUAGAGCCUAAAUUACUCUUCAUUCUCCACUAAGAUUGUAAUUCUUGCUUAAGAUUGUUUAAUUGCACUUCAUCUUUACAUCAGGUAAUGUUUCACUGGUCUUUUGUUCAUUCAUUUGAUUAUAUUUUGUUUUAUUUUGUUACAUUUAGCCCGUAACUUCUGUUUCUUCCCAUUUUUCUUUAAUUUGAUAGUUUAGGUUUAGGUUAGUUUACGUGUUAGUCUUUGUGUGAUGGUUAAGUUAGUGAUUGGGCAAAUGAUUAGGGACAAGUUAGGUGUAAAAAUUGAACAAAAAUGGGAAAAUCAUUAAACCCUAACUAGUACCCGAGAAACUGACUCGGUGCGGUCCGUGGUCGCCUUAGUAUGGUAUGUGGUGUACUGAUGUGGUCCGCGGUACCUUUCUAUGUGGACCACGGUGUUCAUAUGACUAUAUGCUGACUUGUUCCAACACGACUGGGAUACCUAUUUGUUCGGACGGCACUGGCCCACCGCGGCUGUGACCCUAUUUUGUGCGGAUCGCGGUGGGGUGAUUGAGAGAAGGUGAUUUCUGGGUCGUUGCCCAUUGUGGACCACGGUACGUGGUGCCCCCAGUGCAGCCACAUUCCUGUUUGUGCGAGCUGCAGUGCUAUGUUCUACAACUGCUUCUGCAACAAUUCAUCUGUUGUCUGCAAUUCAUUUUAUUCAUUUGUUUCAUUACAUUAACCAUGUUAGAUAUUUUUGAUUGCAGAAAAUGGUCAAACAAUGAUUCAAGGGCUCCAAACAACCUGGCAGAGCUGAGUCCUCCCCAGGAGGCAAAGGAAAAAGAGGGGUAAAACUCACUCCUUAAGUCUGGGAAAACAUCAAAAAGACCCAGAAGUUGAUAAAAGCUGCAGACAGAGCUGCUUCCCAUUCCUCGGGGAGUGAGUAUAUGCCAUCUCAAGACAUCUUCUCCAACUCAAUCCCAACUAACUUCGUCUCCAGCUUUCAACUGACUGAUACCCCUCCAACAUCACCCACUAUCAAGAGGACGCUGAAUGUAGUUUCAGAUUUAUCUGAAGAGUUCAAAGUCGAUAGUGAAGACUACUCCACAUCCCCCAUAGCUUUAUUAGCUGGGGAGAGUGCAGGCGGAGAUGAGGAUGAGAUACAAAGUGGUGAAGGAGGUGAACCUCAGGUUGGAGGGAUUGAACCAACUAGGAAGGCCGAAGUGUGGUAGGAUAGAUUUGUGAGCCAAGUGGAUUACCAUAAGUUUAGGGAGUGGUUGCCAUUGAGGCAUUUAAUACCGGAGAGGAGCUUUGUUAUCAAAGACUUGCUACCCCACAACCCUAACGUGCUGAGAAAAUUUUCAAUGAGACCGGCCUGGGAGAUAUUUUUGGAUGAGUGUAUUGGUGCAAAUGAGCAUAUGGUUCGGAAAUUCUAUUCUAAUGUGGCUCACAUCAUAAAAGGUUCCAAGGUGACCAAGGUCCGGAAUAAAAAGGUGUUGUUUAGCAGGUAGGACUUGAAUGAAUAUUUGGGCUUCAAUAAAGAGGAUAAGACCCUAUAUUUGGUAAAGUUGGAGAUGGGUGAGGGGUCCGUCCAUGGUUAUCCCAGUACUUGGCGAUCCCAGGUACGGUUCCUGAGUGGUUGACUGCGGGGGUAAAAAUAUUGAGGGGGACCUUGAACUUUGAAGCAAAAGGUUGGAAGACUUUCGUUUGCAGCAGGCUAAACCCUAUUACACAUGGCCAGACUCUUCCUAUCUCCCAGGCUGUGUUGGCUGCAUCAAUAAUGGAGGGUUACCCCAUCAAUGUGGGGAAUUUUAUGUCCUGCAUCAUCUCUCUUGUGGGUGCGGAAGCUAACCGGAACUACCAUAUUUCCAACACCCUCUCUAUGUAUUUCCUUGACUUGGAGGUGGAGAAGAAGAGGUAUGAUGUCAAAGCCAAGGUGGUUACUCCAUUCUCGUGGUAUAGUUUGAGGGCGCCAGAAAACCCCAAGGACAAAAACUAAAAGCCACAUGCCUCUACCCAAACUGGCCAGUCUGAGGAGCUGGUUGUGGUAGAGCCUCCCACUGAGCUUGCUGCCACUACCACUGAUAUGCCUCCUGGACCUUCCACUACUGCUGGUCCUUCUAUUUCAGCUAGCUCGGAGAUCCCAUCUUCCCGGGCCCAUCCCAUGAUUGCACACCGGCUGGGCCAAACACGGCUUAGUUUACACAAAUGGAUAUCAGCUGCGACAUCCAUGUUGUCUGCAUUAUCUUCUACCAUUAAGGCUCAGUCAGUACCUCAGACAGCUCAGAGUCCUCAGUCCAUUGAGGACACACUGAAGAAGCAUGUGGAGAACCAGGAAAGGAUUAUGAAGACAAAGGAAGCCUUGUCUAAGGCGAUGGAUUCACAUGGCAAGGCUCUAAAGAAACUCGCCCGGAGAAUAAGGAUGAGGAAAUCACGGGCUUCCACGGAGUUUUUGAAAGAGCUCAGAACAGAUGUGGAUAAGAUAUUGGUAGACCAGAUGCCUCUAGACUUGUUAUUUGGGGAUCCAGCCCCAGCAACAGUACCAAUAGCAGAGCCACAACAGGAGCAUGCAUCGAGGCCUCCAAAGAAAAGGAGGAAGAUCCCUAGUGUAGAUGAUGCUAUCAUCUAGUGUGUGGACCCACCAGAGGCUUCCUCCAGUCAGCCACAUGAUGUACCAGAUCCACAGCCGGUCCAGGUCCAGUCACGGGUCACAACAGCUAAGCAGCAGGAUACCGGGAACCAGUAUGCGAUUCUCGUGCAUGCAGAGAACCUGGGGACCACUGAUGAUCCCAUUCAAACGGACACGGCUUAGGGAGUCUCCUAUAUCCUUUCCUCUUGACUUUUGAUACUUAUUUGUUUAUUUGGCAUUGGGGACAAUGCUAGCUUUUAUUUGUGGGGGUGCGCCCUACUUUGUUUUAUCCGGAUGAUUAUAUAUAUAUUAGUUGACUUAGUUUAUGUUUUUGUUGAUUUUCUAUUUGGUCCGUAUAUAACUUUACACUUAGUUACUCUUAUCAUACUUUUUAUCUUCUCUUUGGACUGUAUAUAAAGUUAUAUUUUAUUAUAUGCUCAACCCUCGUUGUAUAUUCUAAUCCUCUAUGUAUAUAUUCAUUCUAUUUUUUAUUUUCAUACAAGUUUUUCGUAGAUAGGCUCGCAGCCUUUAUGUUUCAUUUUUGGCAUUUUCAAUAAACCCUUAAUUUUCUUAAUGCCACGGUUCUUUCCAAGGUAGAGUAUUAUGUGAAUCGGGUGGAUCUUCCCAAUGAUAGAUGGCGUGACAACCUUCUUAAGGGUUUGAGUCUGUUUUUGUUUUUGUUUUAUUGAUUGUUUGUAGUUAAGGGUACCUCAAGCAAAGCUUCACUUGGGCCUAGCAAAUUUUCCUUUGAUCCCAUAGUCAAAGACAAUGUUGUGUUUAGGAUGUUGAAAUUCGUGGCCUUGAGACUCUUGUGUUGACCAAACAAUCAUCAUGUGGUCUUUUUGGACCAUUGUGUGCUUGAAUCAUAACUAAGGUCGUUGUGGACCCUUGACUCGAUGUCUUUAGCAAUCCCCUAGCGUGUUUGGUGAAAAAUCAAAUUUCGAGUCCGAGUCCCGAGCCAAUGGUCUAGAACUUACCCUAAAUGUUUGUUGAGGUAAAAUAUUAGGUGAAAUUCGACUUGAGAAGUGAUUAUAGGCUCUCCUUGAUCCAAAUGAUUGUUUGAACAAAUCCAUAGCCGGCCAUUGAUAAUAUCUCUAGUGAACCCUUUGAGCCUUAGACCUUCUUCUUUCAAGAACCAUAAUAUAAGCCUAUACCCGUUCUCAAUGAUACCCUCUCUUGGCACCCAAAUCUUUCCUUUAGCACUUGGCAAGAGUAUAAGUUUGGGGGAGAGAAGAGGAGUGAAACAAAGUGGUAAAAGGCGCAUAAGUGAAGAAAAGGAAAGGCAAUGAAAAACAAACUUGGGGGGAGACGAGGAGUGAAAAAAGUGGUAAAAAGGCGCAUAAGCAAAGAAAAGGAAAGGCAAUGAAAAAGAAAGAAAAGAAAAAGACAAAAAAGAAAUCCAUUAUGAACAAGAAUAAAAACGGAUCCAAGGAAAAACAAAAGUGAAAAAGGUGGGAAAAGUAGAAAAAGGAGAAAUUUUUGGAAUUGCACAAGAAAGAGUGACACACAAGAAAAUUGUGCCAAAAGAAUCAAAAGAAGUGCUUAUGGGAAGAUUGAACCCACUUGAAUAAAAACAUGUCCUACCCUUACCCAAAAGCCUUCACAAUGACUCCACAAAAGCCCUAUAUGAUCUUGAGUUGAAGGAAGCCUACAUUAAUGGAUACUUACAUAAGGGGCAAGCGUAUGGUACUUAGAGCCGGACUUCUGACCUGUUUCUUGAGAGAGACGAGAAAUUCCAUUAACCUCGGUUUGUGUGUCAAUACUCAAAAAGGUGAGGUUCGCUUAGGGAGAGUUGAGGAUGUGUGAUUUUGGGUUCCACAAUGACCAAAGUAAUUAAGAGAAGCUCCUUGAUGAAAUGUGUCAACUCUAUAUGCUCUUGUGUCACACUUGAUCUGCAAGUUUUCAAUGUUUAAAUGUGUUUAUGAUACAUUCGUAUUGAGGGCAAUUGUUCUCUUGAUGCUCUUAUGUCACACUUGAUCCAUGGUUUUUCAAAGAUUAAAUGUCUUAAUGAUGCAUUCGUAUUGGGGGAAAUUGUUAGCCCCAAUUGAUGCUUGCUGAGGUUACUUAGGAUAGCUGGAAUUACUUGGAUUUUCCUUUAAGGGGUGGGCCUUGUUUUGUUUCCUUGAGGACAAGCAAAGGCUUAAGUUUGGGGGAGUUGAUAACUAGGGAUUUUAACGUGUUUUAUGCCCCUAAUUGCCUAUGGUUUGGAUAUAAAUUGCUACAAAAUAGUUUCAAAAUGCUCACAAGUUGUGCUUGAUUGCAGGUUUGAUCGACAAAGUGACGAAAUGUCAGAGAUCGACUCAAAAGUAAUGAAACCUACUCAAGUAUCAAAGCUUAAGUGAAAUGAGGAUAAGAGGACCUAGUCCGGGCCGCGAAAAAGUGAAUACGGACCUACUAGGAGGUUUAGAGACAUGGCUAAUUUGGUUCUAAGGCUACGCGGCUGUGGUAAACAUUACACGGUCCGCGGUGAAGGCUUCGCGGUUGCACUACCUUUUGGUGCGGUCCGUGGGGCAGAGGUUCAGAGAGAUGUGAAAGCUCAAGUGUCAAGCCACGCUGUCCAUGGUCAAGCUUGUGCAGACCACGCCUAUUGCCUUCACGGCUGUGGUUCAAACCACGCGGUUAGCGAUCCUCUAGAUCAGAGAAGCUGAAAGUUGAAGUUAAAGAGCCAGUGCGGCCGCGGUCCAUUUUAUGCGGCCUGAACUAACCGCACAGGGGUAUUUUUAUCUAGUUUUUCUAGCCUAGUGUAAAUAGAAUAUUUUAUCAUUUUAGGUCAUCUUGUGUACUCCAGACUGAGCUGCGGUCGUGAGACUCGAUAUUGAAGCCAUUUUUGGCACUUUAGCCUUAAUUUUACGAAAAAAUCUUGUAAUUUUAUUUUAGCAAUUAAUUAAUAUGCUUAGUUCUUCAUCUAUUUCUUCAUUUUCUUCCUUAAGCACGUGUAGCUAAACCCAUUAGCUAGGAUUAUGGCUUAACCCUAGUAUGGGUAAUUGAUAGGUGUUGCCAUAUAGGGUGAGAUUUAUUAUGGAUGUUUGCUUUAGUGUUGUGGCUCAACCCUAGUGUGGGUAAUUGGUGUGUGUUGCCAUCUAGGGUAAGAUUGAUUAUAGGUGUUUGUUGUUUGGGUUGAUUUUAUAUUUUUAUUUAGAAUUGGUGGUUGAAAACACUGAUUUAAGCUUUGUGGGUUUAACUCUUCUUGAGAAAGAGAGCCUAUGAUCCCAAAAACUGACCCAACAAGGAAUUGGGAUGGACUCAUGAGAAAUAGUAGUCCCAAUUAACGAGUUAAAUCUAGAGAGAGUAAUCACCUACUUAAACCCUAGUUGCUUGGUCUAAUUUGUCUACCCAUUUGUUCUCGAGAGAGUCAAUUGGGCAAAAUCGCUCUCUAUCGAGAGGUGUGAGAGUGGGUAAAAUUGUGCAACGGUUAUAGAUAAGCCCCAAAUAUGUCAAUCGAACCUAAGUAACAUCUACCUUUCAAUUAGCCACCUAGGUAGUGUCACGACCCUAGUGCCCUUCUUCCCAUUAGAUACAACUUAGCAAUAUUCUUGUAGCGUAAUUUAGUGUUAAUUGUUUGUUUUAUAAAAGUAGUUAUAAUUCAAACCCAAAAAUGUUUGAAGUGACAUUAGAUGUACAAACACAUUUCUAGGCUAGAUAGAAAAUCCAACUCCAUCACUAGCUCCCUGAGAAAAAUCGAUCCCAACCCUCAUAUCGGGUAAAAGCUAUUGCGACCCACUCUUCCUGCCUUGGUGUAGCGCCGAGUUGGAAACGAUCACUUAAUAGCAUCUUAAAUAGCAUAAAUGCUAUUAUGAAAUACAAUAAUCCUAUAGCUACUUCAAAUCAUAAAUUUGGAGCCUUAGCUCAAACGGGAUGUUCUCAACUUCUUCGUGCUAUAAGCUCAUCGAUCAAUACGAACCAUGCGUAAAAUAUUACAACUGGCUGUGAACUUCAGUGCCCAAAAAAAUAAAAAUCAUUAUCUGGAAAUGCUACCAUAAUAGGAUCCCCACAAGGCCUACCUAGACCAUAAAGGGAUAUACAUUAACCCUAAAUGCCACACAUGCAAAUUACAUGAUAAAAUCAUUCAUCACAUUUUCUAGGAUUGUGCCUCUAUAAAGCACAUUUGGACUAACCUUGGAAUUCUUCUCAAUUCCACCUCAAAAGACCACUGGAUAGACCAAAUAAGGGAUGCAAAUCAUACUUUCCACCAUACAUACCUCAAAUGGGCGGAUAUAUACCCCUUCGCAAUUUGGCUAAUCUGGAAAAAUAGGAGCAACAAUAACCAUAAUAAUACAAAUCAUAGCCUAGAUUGGAACUUUGUUAUAAAGCAUGCUAUUGAAUAUAUCCUACUAACAAAGAAAUGUAUAAAUAGUACAGUACAUAAAUAAAUCAAGAUACAUUGCCAUAUACCACCAAAAGGAUGGUACAAAUUCAACAUAGAGGGUGCUUUCAAUGGAAACAAUUGCCAAGGUGGUAUAGGUGGAGUAGAAAGAAACAACACAGGAAGCUGGAUACUAGGGUUUUACAUGAAAGUUAUGACCCUAUUAGAAACACAAGUGGAGAUCCAAGCCUUGAGAGGAUGCCUGCAAAUCAUAAUGCAUCACAACUUAACGCCAGUGGAAAUAGAGACAGAUGCAUCAUAGAUUAUCAAUAUGUUAGAUAAUAAUCACCCUACUUAUACAAAACUAAUAUAUGAAUGCAGGUGGUUGAUGAAGCAAACAAGGAGGAAAGGUCAGGUGGUACUCAGGCAUAGCUUCAUACAAGGGAACGAGGUAGUGCAUGCCUUGGGAAAAAAUGGCACUAACAUAGACCAACAUAAAUAAAAUCUCCCUUUUGGAAACUCCACCGGAACCAGCAAUACAACAAUAACAAUAGGAUCUGUAGGAUUUUUCUUUUGUUAAAUAUGUUUGUGCUAGUGUUUGUUUGAAGUUGGCUGCUUUAGGAAACUUAGAUGCCUUGCAAGGCACUGCUAAUAUCAUGUAAUAUGUUAGAUGUUUAGUUAUUAAUAUAAUAUCCUUUUCGUUCAAAAAAAAAUUAUAACUUGGAGAGAAGAGGUCUCGUAAGUAUUCAAUAUAAAUUGAUACUUCUACAAUAAUAUAAACUAAAAAUAAAUUUUAUACCACUAAUUACAACUUAUUUCCAACUUAUCUACAACUUUCAUAUAUUAUUUUUUGGUAUUUUAAAAAAACUAUACAACAUCAUAUAACUUAAAUAUAAUUUCCAUACAAUUGUAUACAAUAUGUCUAUUGUAUGUACUUUGUAAAUGAUUUAUAUAUAUAUUUUGUAUGUGAUGUGUUCUUCUUUCUCUCUGAAAUUCCAAUCAGAACUUGCUCUCUUAAUAAAAUUUUGAUACAUAUCAACAACUUUAUGGAAAAAUAUAGUAUCUAUGUUUUAAAAUCAAAUUUUAUACAACAAUUCAUAUACUAUACAACUAUUUUUCAACUUUCAUAUAAUAUUUAAAUAAAAUAUAUGUUUACCGUGAAAAUGGGAAUAACAAUCAAAUUUGAAUUUGUUGUUCUAAAAAUACAUGAUCUAUUUGUAUGCUAGGUGUUAGGCAGUUGAUACUAUGUGAAAGACUUAGAAAUGAAAUAAGAGAUUAAGAAUGAGGUGUUAAUCAAACUAAAUCACUAUCAAUCGGGACUUUGAGCUUCCUAUUCGAGGGCCUCGGGGUUGAGUCUGAAGCCCUACCGGGAGCUGUCGAAGGCGGUCGAUGGAGAAUAACAGUUAUAAAUAUAUCAAAGGCAGCUCUUUAUGGCCAAUAGUAAGCAACAAAUGACGAAUAAUAAAUAGAACAUAAUAAAUAUGAGAAAUAAAUAAAAUAAUCAAAGCCAAGAGAAGGUGUUAAAAAGCAGAGACAAUGUGCUAGUAUAUUUAGUAUGGAGCAAUAGAUGUUUACAAAAUGACAAGGAUCCCCUUUAUAUAAGAUAGGGAAUCCCAACAUAGUACAAGUACAUUUGUUACAAAGAUAUGGAGAUGAGACACCUAACUAAUGCCAUGAUACUGGCUCAGACUAGCCUGACAGAUUUUGUUGGCCCUAGUUUCACGCCUUGGGAACUCCCCAUUUUCUUCCCAUAACCGUCGGCUUCAUGAUAUCACGAGAUCGAGCGUCGAUGGCCCUUGAGGGAUGAGACCUUGAUUUUGAGCCUUCGAGGUGUCAUAACAAUGGAAAAUUGGGCCCUCCGAUUUUACCGUAUAAAGAUAGUCUCUGUGUUUCUUGGAGUAGAACGACAAGAAAUGGCCUUGAUAACCAUCUUUUCGAAUUUCCCACAAUAAUGUUAUACUGAUGAUGUGAUACUCAUGACAUAGGCUUUUGUGUCAAUCGAGGCAUCUCCUGACUUAUCCGUCAAUGUCUUUCUACGCACGGUCGAUUCUCGUCCUCCUAGGUACGCCACCAAUUCAGUUCUCAAAAUGUUUUAAUUGCAUAUGUCGAUACGUCUUUCAAGGACAUUAAUGGUGUCGUCGGUUGCGUUUUUCAAAAGGGUAUUGAUUGUGCCCGCCAGUUACUUUGCCCUUUCUCUAUAAAUAGGGGCUUCCUGGAACAAAUUCCUUAUUUAAGUGUUCUUCAAUCAGCCUUUCUCUCAUUUCUUCUUUCCAUCCUCAUCCGCUAUCAUUUUCCAUGCCUGAGGCCCAUGGCCUCAAAGUUUCCUGGUGGUGUUCUCAUCAGUUAUACCAUGGCCUUUUCCUUGAGCCCCUCCCUGUCAAGUAAGAUUACAACAACUUCUUUUUGUUGUUGUUGUUGUUAUUGUUGUUGCUGCUACUAUCAUCGUUGGAUCAAGACAAGGAGAUAGGGGGGUCGAUCUCUUCUAUCUUGGGAAGAUAUUUGGACUAUAUACCACUACUUACGAGGGUGUUUGGACAAUACAUUGUUGCUUACAUUCCUACCACUCCUGGUGUGACACUUACCCCUUUUGCUUUCUGUGGGGUGCAGUGGUACCUCUGGAUGAUAGCUUGUAUGGCACAAUGUCCCAAGAAGUGGACUGAAAGUAGCCUUGCAACCGAGGAAGACGCCCGCCAAGUCUUCUGCAGGGUCGUGAUCCUCCUGGCCUGGUGAAAUCCUUUGUCUUUGGCGGGAUAUGACAUUUUUUCAUCCCUUUCUACCUCAUUACUUUCCUCUUCUUCAUCUUCUGACUUUCCUCUUUUUCAUCUUCUCUUUUUCCUUUUUUCAUCUUCUCCCUUGGGGAUACCAUUUUGGAGGACCGAGAUGAGACCCCCGAGGAGGUGGCGGUCAAAGACACUGCCACCGAGGAAGCAUACCUGAGGGGAUGAUGCUUGAAGAUAUUGCCGGUGAGGAUAAACCCUCCAGCAAAGAUUAGACUCUAGGCUUUUCUUGCAUAUGUGCUUUUUUUGCUUCUUUGUUUCUAUAUAUGGACCCCUUGUGGGCAUUUGUAAUCAUAUGUAAGGACCCCUCGUGGGCUUUUGUAAUUGAAUGUUUAUGAAUGAAAAAUAUUUCUUUAAUUUGUCUCUGAUGCAUACUAUUUUACCUUUAUCAAUGCUUGUAUAGAAUCUAAGUGCAUGACCCUAUCAUUUGGUGCAAAUAUCAAGCCCGAGAUGGACUGAUAAACUCAAAUCACCGGGGUCCUGACUUCGAGUAGAAUGAAAGUCGGCUCUGAACCCCUAAAUCUAGAUUUAGCUUUUAGACACAGCAAUGAUCUUCAAGGGGUAAUUCACUCGGAAGCUCGAGAAUGCAGACUACCUUUAGGCUUUCGAGAGUAGUCCCGGAGUGGGGGUUAACUCGGGCCAUCUGGAAACUUGUCUUGAACUUAGUAUAUAUAGCCUUAAGGCAUUUUAGAUAGAUCCUGAAAGAGGGACUGCCCGGUUUAGAUGGUAUCCCAAGGCCAGGCCCAUACGAACAGAGUUUUAAGUGCUUAUUUUUCUCCUUGAGAUGAGCCUUUGAAACCAAGUACCAUCUCGAGUCUUGUAAUGACGUCGAUGGCCCCUUGGAGAGAUCCCUAAGAUUGGGUACCAUUUCGAUUCUGGUGAUGAUAUUAGAGGUUUACUAUAGCCUAACUUCUUUUUGAUGGAGGUCCUCGAGAUCGGGUACUAUCUCGGGACUUGUAGUGAUAUUAAUGGCUUCUUGGAUCCUUUCUUCUUUUUGGGGGGUCCUCGAGAUCGGGUACCAUCUAGGGACUGGUGAUUAUGCCAAAGGCUUCCUGGAGCCUAACUUCUUUUCAAUGAAGGUCCUCGAGGUCGGGUACCACCUCAAGACUAGUAGUGGUAUUAAUGGCCUCUUGGAGCAUUUCUUCUUUUUGAUAGAUGUCCUCGAGGUCAGGUACCACCUUGGGACUUGUUUGGUGCGGGGGUCUCUGACCCCGAAAUGUCACACAGCACUUGCCAAAUGGGCAAUAUGGCUGUAAAAUGACCAAGGCAACUCCGCCAGCAGAUCUUCCCAAAGUGGUUUCGGCCAACAUUUUAAUAGGCCUCUAGAGCUGGCGGAUCGUUGCUUCUUUUUCCCUAUAUAGGGAAGCUUCCGCCCUUUUGGAGAUUCCGCCCUUUUGGAGAUUCCACCAUUCUAAGAAGUUACCCUUUUUUCCUACCUUAGGCUUUUCAUUAUUUCGGCAUUGACGCUCUUUCCUAAAUUCCCGCUUAGUUCUCUGAUUUUGCUAUAGUAAUGACUACUGCAUCAAGACUCGUUUGACAGGGAGGAGAGGGUUCCACCGCCAGUUCUCGCCUUGUUGGCUCGAGGAAUUUUUGUAUUGAGAGGGGACUUUUCAUUAGAAAAGUGCCCUGACACUUGGGAUAAUGGGAGCAUACCUUGCAGUUUACUUCUUUGAUUGGAGAGGGACACCUUGGGUCGGUGAGGAAAGCUAUGGAUAGGGGGAAAAGGUAGUACCGCAGGUACCUUCCUCGGAUGAGAGUGUUACGGAUUGUGCCAAGGGGUUUCUGAAUGUGUUCAUGUAUACCUUCAUACUAGGCCCCCUUGAUAGAAUUGUGCUUGACUUCUAUCAAAAGUAUCAAGUUACCUUGGCCCAGAUUCACCGGUCAUUUUCGCAGAUAAUGUUGAUGGUGAGGUUCUUUGCGGAGAAGGCAGGGCUUGAAUUUACACCUAGCCAAUCAGGCUAUAUCGUCCAUUUCAUUAUCGAGGUCUUCUAACCUUAAGAUGCCGAUGGACGACGCCUUUUGUUGUCGAGGAUGAAGCAGAUUAGGGUCGAGAAUGAAUAAGUCGAUUGGUCCGACUAUGAAUUGUAGAUAUUAUUCCCCUGGAGUUUAUGUCAUUCCCUAAGGAGUGAAAUUACACACAUAAGUGGUACACUCGUACCUUCACAGUUCUUCAAUUAUGGCGAAGGGGUGUUCUAUAAGUGUUCUUUCUUUUCUUUUUCUGCAGUGAUUUUGUGGAUGCCUGGGGAGGUUCCAGAUCUUCCGGAUUGGGAUUACACGUUGACGACCCACUCGACUUAUAAUGAACGUAAGUGGAGAGAUUCACCUAAGGAUAUGUGGGAGGCGAAAUACCACGGUAUGUGUCAUGCGAUAUCUUCCCUUCUUUUAAUUGAAAAAGCACUUCCUAUUUCUGUGUGCUAACCCUGUUAUUGUAGGCAUCAGGGAGCCUUUCGAGGCGAGUCCGUGUCCCCUUGAGAGAGAGUUGGAGGAAGGGGGAGAAUGAUCGCUAGCUUCUGGGCUAAAGAAUGCUAACAAUAAGCAAGAGAUACCUUUGCAUGGAGAUGGCUCCGUGGCAAGGUGAACCUGGGCUGGGGGCCCGGAGUUGAAGUAUUGAUUGAGCCUGUAACGCGCAUGAUUUCUAGUAUUGGAGAGGCGGUUUACCUUCUGUUGUCACCUUUUUUCUCUUAGAGGUACUUCGAGGGAUACUCAAAACUAGAGAUCAUGUGCACCAAGCGAUCAUGCCUUGAUUGGGGUCAAAGUUUCGUAGCUGAGGGAAUUUGGUUAGCAGAUGCGCACUCGACCUUUGAUUAAGUACAUAGGCUUCACUCUUUGGUGAGUUUUUGGCAUAUGCCUUUCGUGUUUCGCGCCUUCCCUUCCAUUCCGAGUUUUCUUUUGUAGACCUUUGACAAUCUUAAGUCCGAGCUUCUUCGUCGUGAGUCCAGGCUGCGAAAAGCUCUGGAUGAGGAGAAAUCCUUGAGGCUCAUUUGCGAUGAAAGGGAAGUCGAAUUCGAAUACUUACGGUAUGAGGUGAGUUGGAUCUUUAAUUAUGAGAGCUACUUGAAGGAGCAGAUAGUUUAUGUCCCAAGAAAGUGGGCGUUCCUCCUUCUAGCUCCCGAAGCUAAUGUUUUGUUUACUUAAGUUGUAGAAAAAGACGGAGGGCUUGAAGCACCUUCGAGAUGAGGUUGGCCGAGCUAAGUGUAAGUAUGAUGAGUUAAAGGCUUAGGCUGAUGCUCAAGCUUCGAUGGAGGAGGGUGCUCUGGCUACGGCUUCCGCCCUUGAGGUUCAACUUCUCUUAGCUUGUAAUACUAGCAUAGUUCGAAAAGAUACGAUUGCGAAGCUCAAGGCUAGCUCUCACAAAUAAGGGCCGAGAUUGAGAACACCCGAGCUGAAGCUAGAAUGAGCCAAACUAAGGCUGACUAAAAAGUGGCGAUUUAUUUGAAGGACGCUGCCGAUGCUCAAGCUAAGCUGAGAAAGAUCCUUGACCGCGAAGAUAAAAGCAAAUAAUAUGCUCGGUGUAAGUCUCAUAGGAAAACCCUCGAGAAGAUCCGUGCUAGGAGAUUUGACCUCUCGGAAGAUUUGACAAAUGCGAGGGUAGAUGAGCAUGGUUCUCAUGUGUGAGACCGAGGAUGGAGAAGGUGGGGCCGACGGGCCAUAGCCACCCAUGGGGAGUGUAGAUUUUUCUUUCAGAUUAUGCAUAUAGCAUUCUUAAAGCAUGUUUGUAAAUGAUGCUUGUAUUUCUCCGCAUGUAUGUAUAAAGAAGAAACCUUGCGGCUUUGUUUCUUCUUCAUUUCUUUUAGGCUAGUGACGGUGGCUUUUACGCUUUUGGUCGAUGCGACCUUUUAAUGCAUGUGGGAUGGAAAAAAUGGCUCUUAUGCUUUUGCCCUUAGGCAUAUUUAGUUAACUGUUUGGGUUUAGUCUCUGAAUCGGGUUUGACUCGAGCUCUUUACCCUUAAGUUUUUGAAUCAUAAGUUGGCUCUAAGGCUUAUACGUAUUGGGUCGGUACGACAUUUUGUAUGUGUGGGAUGGUGACAGUGGCUCUUAUUCCUUUUCCCUUAGGCAUAUUUAGUUAAUUGUUUUGGUUUCAGUCUCCGAAUAGGGUUACGACUCGAGCUCAUUUGACCCUCAGGUUUUUGAAUUACAAGCUAACCCUUCGGCUCUUACGCGUUGGGUCAGUACGACCUUUAUAUGUGUGGGAUGGCGACGGUGGCUCUUAUGCCUUGGGUAGAUGUGACCUUUUAUGUUGGCUUUAUUUUUCCCUCGAUAAGGAUUUUUUGAAAUAGUGUUUGUCUAACUCUUCGAUAGUUUAAAAAACCUUUAGUGUGAGUCGUUAUAUGGCGAUGAUCGAGCACCUCAAAAGGUUUGGCUCGGAGGCUGAGUAUCUCGAAGCACUGUUGAGGAGCUGACAUAGUCGAAGCUCUUUUGCCUAUAUGGAGGGUAUCAUGUUUAACUGGUUCUUUCCGAAGUAUAUCCGCAGUAAUUAAAGGCCUAUGAUUUAUAGCGACAGUCGGGUGUCCUUGAGCCACGUUAGUUUGGCUGUUAUAGCCUUGUGACCGGAGUCAUUUAUGUUUGGUUGGAACCUUUAAAUCCCGAGUGAAGUAGUUUUAGCGUUUAUAUCGAGGCUAUGCCUUUUUAAGGGUCUUACAAGUUAAACAUAUAGCCGAAUCUUUGAGGUCGAGUUUAUGCCUUUAGUAAGGUCUUACAAGUUUUUCAUGCCUUUGAGGUCUUAUAGUUUUGGAUAUUUGGUACAAGUAUUGUUCAUGCCAUGCUUGAGGUCUUACAGAUAUUGUUGUUGCCUUAUGUAGGUCAUACGAAACCCAGGCUACAGUAUGUGGUCUUAUGGCCUCGGGUUUUGAUAAGUCAAUAGAGAUGGUGAUUAACGGUAGUCCUCGAGUGGCCGAGGGUUUCUUGGCUCGGGAGCCAUUGCUUGUGAACUUGGUAUUGCUUUAUCGAGGGCUUAUGAUUUUGGAGUUUCCGACCCGGAGGUCGUGUAGCCUUUAGUAUUUGAUGCCAGUCCCCGAGUGUUCGAGAUGUUUUUGGCUCUAGAGCCACUUGGUAAUCGUGAUAUUGCCUCUUUGAGGGCUUAUGAGUUAGGAGCUCUGACCCGUAGGUCAUAUUAUUUUAAGUAGUUGACGCCAGUUCCUGAGUAUUCGGGGUGUCUUUCAGCUUUGAGGUCGUUGUUUGCAAAAAUGUUGAGCUUUCUUGAAAUGUAAAAAUGCUUCUGGGAAGUAUUCUUUGAUUACUUCGUACAAGUAUAUGCGUUUUGUAGGCUCGGUUGUUCUAUGAGGACACGGUUCUUUCGACCAUUUGGCCUGGUAUAUUACUUUCUUAUUGAGCCCCUGUUUGGCGUAUCUUGGCUUCCCCGAGUUGGUGACCUUUCGGGGUGAUGGCCCCUAGUAUUUGAGGUUGGUAGCAAAAGAAGCCUUGAAUACUUUUUGGAUCUUCCUUAGGUAGAAUAUAGAUGUUUCCUCGUUAAAAACCUUGCCGGUAAAACCUUUUUUGGGAUAAAAACCCGGUCGAAGGAAAAGAGUGCAACACAUGCGUUAUUUGAAACCUAAGGCCUUCGGGUUGGAGAGUUCUUUGGCAGUUCCAAUCGGAUAUUUGCACUCAGAUCAACAUAGAAUAUAAUUGAAAGAGAGAGUAUACAGUCAUACCUUAGCGUAGAGUGUGCCGACAGUGUUUCGGGCCUGAAUACUUUUCAGUCGCCUGUGAUGAGGAUGGGGUAUGGUUCCCCGCUUCGCUUAGUCGACGAUAGUUGUGGUGCAGUUUUUUAUUGCUAUUUUACUAUUUUCUUAUUCUUUGUCUCCUUCGAAGAUGGAGGUACCGGGGGCGGGGCCAAAUCAUGUAUCGCGAACAUUUCUUUAACCGCAUGUUGUUCCCUGUAGACGGUCUUAAUCCCAUCCUUCGUCGGGAAUUUCAUCAUUUGAUGGUGGGUGGAUAGUACUACUUUCAUACAGUGUAUCCACGGCCUUUCGAGCAAGGCAUUGUACCUCAUAUCUCUUUCGAUGACGUAGAAUUUGGAAUUUUGGAUUGUGCCGGCCACAUUGACUAGAAGGGUGAUUUCCCUUUUUGUUGUUUUCCUCGCCAUGUUGAACCUGUCGAGGACUCGAGAGGCGGGUACAAUUUGGUCAAGCAGUCUGAGCUACUCUACCACCCUUGACUUGACAAUGUUGGCCGAGCUGCCUGGAUCCACAAGUACACGUUUAAUAUGAAAUAAAUUUACAACAAAAGAGAUUACUAGUGCAAUUUUGUGGGGUAGAGACAAGGUCUCGAUGUCUUCGUCGCUGAAUGUGAGGGCAUCCUCGGGUAUGUAAUCCCCAGUUCGCUUCUAUCUAGUAAUGGAUAUUUUGUUCUUCUCAUCAUGGGCUCUUGUAAGGCAUCGAUGCCUCCUAAGAUCAUGUUGAUGACAUGUUGUGGCUCAUUUGUUUUGUUCUUCUUGGCCGCCUCUCUUUUCCGGAACUAGCUUUUGGCCUGAUCGCAGAGGAAUUCUCGGAGGAUGCCUUUAUUGAGUAGUCUGUCCACUUUCUGUUGGCCCAAGCUCAGUUAACGUUUUAAAGAAUGACAAAUGAACUCAGUGAAGGACCAGGUCCAUCUUAGGAAAUACAGUUGUUAUAGUCUAUACACAUGAGUUGCACAUGAAGAAGAUAAGCCUUUGGGAUCGAGCAGCAAUAUCUUCUGAAUAUCUUUUGAACUUAUCGAAAAGAUUGGAUAUGGGAUAAGGAGAAGAGGUCUCCUUAUGAGAAGAGAACUUUAUCCGGAUCAAGGAUAAGGAAUUGGAGUUUGAAUUGUUCUAGGACUCGAACUUGAUGAAGGAUCAACAAUUCGAGUUGUUGUCAAACUCUGAUUACUAACUCUAUAAAAGUAAUGUUGUUCUCUUGUACAACUAUGCAAAAAUACGAAGAAGUUAGAGAUAAAUUGAGAGCAAAAGAGCAAGACUAUUUUGCAAGUAAUUUACGUGAGAUCAAGUGUGCACGCCUGCAACUACUUCAACAAGAUUGAAGAAUCAGUUCCAUUGUGUUUUUCUUAUUCUACUUCAAUUGUAGUAGGUGAUUUAAAAUUUUACCUUUCUAGCUUUCAUAGAAGCAAAUUGUAUUAGGUACAUUGAGUAUUCAAGUUAGAGUUAACUUGAAAGUGUCACAACAGUUGAGUCUGUGUGCCACACUAGGAUUAGAGUUAAUCCUUAGGUUUACAAAGAUUUUUGUAAAUGUUGUUUAUGCUCAUUGGGUUUAGUAGAUGUUUGGGAAAAUACUACCGAGUAGUAGGUCGGAUUUACAAAGAGUUUUGUAAAUAAUGUUUUGGCUCAUUGAGUUUGGUGGAUGUUUGGGAAAAUCCUACUGAGUAGUAGGUCGUGGUUUUUCACCUUUUGAGCCAGGUGNNNNNNNNNNNNNNNNNNNNNNNNNNNNNNNNNNNNNNNNNNNNNNNNNNNNNNNNNNNNNNNNNNNNNNNNNNNNNNNNNNNNNNNNNNNNNNNNNNNNNNNNNNNNNNNNNUUUGAGCCAGGUGUUUUCCACGUAAAAAUCUAUGUGUUCUUUAUUUUAUGCACUCUUAAUUCCGCAAACAGUCAUAGUUAGUACAUCUAGAAGAACCGGGCUCUUCUAGUGCAAAAAAUGGGUACCACACAAAUCACCUCCCCCUCUUGUGUGGUAUUAACGUUUGGAAUAUCAAUUGGUAUUAGAGCGGGUUUUUCUUGAAGACGCUAAGACCUUAGGAGAAUAUCAACAAUAAGUGCACCACCUGGAAACUGGGAAGGGCAUCUACUGCUAGGCCUCCACUUUUCAGUGGCCAGUACUAUUCUUGGUGGAAGACAGAAUGAGAGAUGACAUUAUAGGGGAAGAUUAUGAACUUUGGGACAUAAUAAGUGAUAGUCCUCUAGAAACCACUAAGAAGAAUGUUGAAGGAAUUGAAGUGCGAAAGACAAGGGCUGACUGCAUUGCUGAAUAAAUGAAAAAAUGGGAAAAAGUGCUAAGGCUAAGAAAUGGCUUGUAUGUGGUCUAGGACCAGACGAGUACAAUAGGAUCCAAAGCUGCACAACUUCUAAGAAAUAUGGGACACACUACGAGUGGCUCAUGAAGGAACACCUCAAAUGAAAAGAUCAAGAGGAACACUUUUGUAUUCUCAGUAUGAGAAUUUUACUAUGAAGGAAGGAGAAACUAUUCGAGAGAUGUACACUAGAUUCACCACUUUGACAAAUGAACUGGAAUCUCUUGUAAGGACUAUCCUUGAAGAAGACAAGGUUGAGAAGAUUCUGACUAUAGUUCUGCCAGUCACAUGGGAAAGCAAAAUCACUGCCAUUCAGGAAUCCAAGAAUAUUGCUAUCCUCUGACUAGAUGAACUAAUUGGAAAUUUAACUGCCUAUGAAAUGAGGAGACAAACCAUGAAGAUGGAUACCCCCAAAAGGGAGACAAAUUUAGCUCUCAAAAUUGCUGAAGGUGCAGAAUUGGAAGAUGAUGAAAUGGCUAUGAUCACUAUGGAUUUCAAAAGAUAUCUAAUGAGAGGAAAGGAUUCUUCAAGAAGCACAAGCUUCAAUAAAACAAGAGCUCUGGAGAAACAUGCAAAUGAGGGAUGCUACAGGUGUGGCAAGACUGACCACAUGAUCAAAAACUAUCCUCAAUAGGAAAUUGAUUGGAAGAACGAAGGAACAGGAAGAAGGAACAGGUUCAACCUAGGAGAAACAAAGGUUCAACUAAGGAUAUGGAUGCUUCUUGGGGAGAAACUUGAGAUGAAGACUCAGAAGAUGAAGCUGAGGAGGAGCAAGCAUUAAUGGCCAUCGGAGAAUCAGAUGAUGAACAAGAGGUAAGUAUUCUUCAUCUCAAAGACAAGAUCAAAUUCUUGCCUAAUGAAAAAUCGGCUGAGCUAUUAAUAGACUUCAUUGAUGAGUCUGAGAUUAUUAACAUAAAAUAAAAGAUUAAAUUCUUGUCUAAUUAAAAACUGGCUGAGCUAUUAAUGGACUUCAUUGAUGAGUCUGAGAUAAUCAACAAUGAGAAGGAAGUUAUGUCUAGGGAAUGUGUGAUUCUAAAAGCAAAAUGUAAAUGUCUAGGAUCUAGGGCAAAUGAGAGUGAUAACAAAAAUGUUGAGUUGAAGAAUCAGGUUCUUCAACUUGACAACAGUGUCUUAGAACUUAGGUCUGAAAAUUUUAAAAGUAGGAACAGGAAAGAAGAUAGCUGGUCACACAUAUCUCACUCUAGAAGAAAGUCUAGGAAAAGUGAAAGAUGAAUUGUACAGAAAAGAUGAAUUCAUCAAAGUUUUAAAAGAAGAUCUAGGAAAAGUAAAACAUGAACUAGACAGAACUUGCAAGUGGAAGCAGGCCUCAGAUGCUCUCUCCUGGUUGCAAGAGCAUCACAGUAGUAACAAAAGAGGACUUGGCUAUGGGACUCAAGCUCCUAGAUGGGAUCCAAAAAGCAAGUACCUCACUCUUCCUGAAAACAAAAUCUGCACACACUGCAGUAAGACUGGUCAUUACAAAUAUAAAUGUAAUGCAAAAGAAAUGUCCAAUCAUAGAAACAAAGUUUUUUUAAAGAAAAGAAUAAGUUGCCCGGAUGGGCAAAAAGGAAUAUAAUUUAUCCUUUUGCUUAUAGAAAGGGACCAAAACUAGUUUGUGUUCCUAAGACGAACCCCUAAUUUCCUUUUGAAGGUCCAAGUGAGAGGGAUGAUCCAAAUAUGGUAUAUGGAUAGUGGCUGUUCAAAAUACAUGAUUGGGGACAAGGACCAGUUCCUUUCACUUAAGGACCUAAAAGGAGGUGAUGUCUCCUUUGCUAAUGGAAAGAAAAGUGAGAUCAUUGGGGUUGGAAAGGUAGGCAAGACUAAUUCUCACUCCAUAGAGAAUUCUACCUGAUAGAUGGUUUGAAAUAUAGCUUAAUAAGUGUGUCAAAAUUGUGUUAGAAAGGCAACCUUGUGGCAUUUACCUCCACCAAUUGUUUUGUGAUUAACCUUAUCACCGACAAGGUUGUUUUUCAGGGAAAAAGAGUUAACAAUAUUUACAUUGUAGUUUUGUCAACUCUUUCAGACAACGAACUCACUUGUUUAAGUGUGUUAGACAAUGAUCGCCUCCUGUGGCACAAAAAACUUGACCAUGCCAGUCUAAAUCAGCUAAAAAAAUUAGUCUCCAAGGACUUGGUAAUAGGAUUACCUAAUAUCAAGUUCAAGGAAGUCUAAAUCAGCUAAACAAAUUAGUUUCCAAGGACUUGGUUAUAGGGUAACCUAAUAUCACAUUCAAGGAAGACAAAGUUUGUAAGGCACGCAAUGGGGAAGCAGGUAAGGUCAUCCUUCAAAUCUAAGAAAAUGGUAAGUACGUCCAAGACGUUGGAACUGGUUCAUAUGGAUCUCUGUGGUCCAAUGAGAACCAUGAGCAGAGGAAAGAAAUAUGUGACGGUGCUUAUUGAUGAUUACUCUAGAUUUACUUGGGUUCUGACAUCUAAAGAUGAGGCAUUUGAAAUGUUUACUGCUUUUGUUAGAAAAACUCAGAAANNNNNNNNNNNNNNNNNNNNNNNNNNNNNNNNNNNNNNNNNNNNNNNNNNNNNNNNNNNNNNNNNNNNNNNNNNNNNNNNNNNNNNNNNNNNNNNNNNNNNNNNNNNNNNNNNNNNNNCUGAAUUUGAAAAUGCAAAAUUUGCUGAGUAUUGUGAUGAAAAUGGUAUAGAUCACAACUUCUCUGCCCCUAGGACUCCUCAUCAAAAUGGAGUAGUUAAAAGAAAGAACAUGACUCUUGAAGAUAUGUAAGGACCAUGCUUUUCUCUAGUAAAUUACCCCACAGCUUCUGGGCAAAGGCUGUAAACACUGCAUGUUACAUAAUCAAUAGAUGCAUGACUAGACCUCUUAUUGAGAAGACUCCCUAUGAGUUACUUAAAGAGAGAAAACCAAACAUAUCCCAUCUUAGGGCAUUUGGUUGCNNNNNNNNNNNNNNNNNNNNNNNNNNNNNNNNNNNNNNNNNNNNNNNNNNNNNNNNNNNNNNNNNNNNNNNNNNNNNNNNNNNNNNNNNNUGCAAGUGUUAUGUGCACAAUAAUGGAAAAGACUCCCUAGGUAAGUUUGAUCCCAAAAGUGAUGAGGGAGUAUUCUUGGGAUAUUCUUCACGUAGCAAGACAUAUAAAGUGUUCAAUAAAAGGACUUUGUGUGUAGAAGAUAGUGUGAAUGUUGUAUUUGAUGAAACUAACAUUCUUUCUGAGAGACAGGAACAUGAAGAUGAAGCCAUUGGACAGGUCAAAGACUUGGGUGAAGCAUCAGCUCAACAAAGUGGCACCUACAGAAGGAACAUGUGAUGGAAUAUGUUCUUACUUACUGGGAAACCUGCCAGGGGGAAGAAAUCAAACGGGAAUUGAAAUAAACCCCUUGAAGGAACCUAUUCAUGAACCUGGUUCUCAGCAAAUGGCUGAAACAUUCAACAUAAGCCAGUUGGUCAUGAAACCUCACAAGCAUCAAAGUUCUCAUCCCAUUGAGAACAUUCUUUCUUAUCCAAUAUCUGGAGUCAAAACCAUAUCACAACUAAAGAAUCUAUGUGCAUUUGAUGCUUUUCUAUCUCUUAUUGAACCUAAAAAUGUCAUCAUUAAUGACCCAAUAUCUAGAGUCAAAACUAGAUCGCAACUGAAGAAUAUGUGUGCAUUUGAUGAUUUUCUAUCUCUUAUUGAACCUAAAUAUGCUAUUGAGGCUUUGCAAGAUGCAGAUUGGGUCAAUGCUAUGCAUGAGGAACUCAAUCAAUUUGAAAGAAGUCAAGUCUAGCAUCUAGUUCCAAUACUCAAGGACAGAUCAGUUAUUGGUACCAAAUGGGUCUUUAGGAACAAACUUGAUGAAGAUGGAACUGUCAUAAGAAACAAGGCAAGGCUGGUGGUUCAAGGCUACAGCCAAGAGGAAGGCAAUUGACUAUGAUGAGACCUUUGCUCCAGUUGUAAGACAAGAAGCAAUCAGACUCCUCAUUUCCUUUGCAGCACAUAUGGAAUUCACUCUCCAUAAGAUGGAUGUCAAAAGUGUCUUCCUAAAUGGCUACCUCAAGGAAGAAGUGCUUGUGAAACAACCUCCAGGAUUUGAAAGCAAGGAAUGUCCUGAGCAUGUGUACAAGUUGUACAAGGCUCUAUAUGGGCUCAAACACGCCCCAAAGAGCGUGGUAUGAACGACUAUCAAACUUCCUACUGGAGCAUGGGUACAAAACAGGUAAAAUUGACAGCACUUUGUUCUUAAGGGAAAAAGGUAAAGACCUCCUUGUUGUAUAAAUAUAUGUUGAUGAUAUAAUUUUUGGGGCCACUACAGAUAAGUUGAGCAACGAUUUUGCAAAAUUAAUAGGGACUGAGUUUGAAAUGAGUAUGAUGGGUGAACUAAACUUCUUCCUAUGCUUGCAGAUCAAACAAAGCCCACAUAGGACCAUGAUCCAUCAGCAGAAGUAUACAAAAGAACUAAUCAAAAGGUUUAAAAUAGAGGACGCCAAAGAAAUAGAUACACAUAUUGCAGCUACCACUAAAUUAGAUAUUGAUGAACAUGGUUCAUCAGUUUAUCAAAAGUUGUAUAGGAGUAUGAUUGGUUCACUCUUGUAUCUUACUGCCAGUAGACCUGACAUUGUAUUCAAUAUAGGGCUUUGUGCUAAUUUCGAAGGAAAUCCAAAGGAGUCACAUUUGACAGAUGUUAAGAGGAUUUUGAGAUAUCUGAAAGGCACCACAGAUUUGUGUCUUUGGUAUCCCAAAGGUAGCAAUUUUGAUCUAGUAGGAUAUGUUAAUGCUGAUUAUGCAGGUUACUUGGUGGACAGGAAGAGUACUUCAUGUAUGGCACAUUUCCUGGGGUCAUGUCUAGUGUCAUGGGCUACCAAAAAGCAAAAUUCAGUAGCCAUAUCUACUAUUGAAGCUGAAUAUGUUGUUUCUACUUCUUGUUGUGCUCAAUUGUUAUGGAUCAAACAAUAGCUGGUAGUCUUUGGAAUUAAAUUAGGAUGUAUUCCAAUAUUUUGUGAUAACACUAGUGCUAUAAAUAUGACAAAGAACCAUGUUCAUCAUAAAAGACCAAGCACAUAGAUGUUAGAAACCACUUCUUGAGAGAUAAGUAUAAGAAAGGGUUAAUCUCCAUAGAAUUUUAUGCUACUGAUAAACAAACACAUAGAUGUUAGACACCCCUUCUUGAGAGAUAACUAUGAGAAAGGGUUAAUCUCCAUUGAAUUUUGUGCUACUGAUAAAAAAAAUAGUUGACAUCUUCACUAAAGAAAUAAGUAGAGAAAACUUUGAAAGGAAUAGGUUGGAAUUAGGGAUGAUUAAGAUCACCUAAACAAGUCCAGUUCAGAAUGCAAUGAAACAAAAAUUAUUUAUUUUGUUUAGUUAGAAGUUCUGACUUUAUGUGAAUAUCUAGACUAAUUCUUACUCAGUCUCAUACUCUAAUCAGUAUACUUCUGUGACAUGUUUCUUUUAAUUCAUUGAUAUCUUACAAAGUUUUUUCUAUUUAUAUAUAUGAGGGAUACUCAAGAGAAGUUCUUCUUGAAGAACUUGGUUCAUCAGUCUAUGCUCAUGAGAAAAGGUCAGGUAUGUUUCUAUACUUUGCACAAUUAGAAAAUUAAAUAUUUCAAUUAUGAGCAUAAAUCCUAUUCUAACCAAACUCCCAAAAAAUAUAACCGCUAAGCAUUGGACCAGUUUUAUUCUCCUAGAGUUCUAAAGAAUAACACUCUAAUUAUGAGUAGAAGUCCUAUUCUAACCAAACUCCCAAAAAUAUAACCGCUAAGUAUUGGACAAGUUUUAUUCUCCUAGAAUUCUAAAGAAAAUGGGACUUUUUCCUAAAAACUAGUGCUAAUUAAAUGCUGGAGUCUUCAUGGGAUUAGACUCCUAAUUGACCACUGCAAAAAGGAUGUUGUUACUGCUCCUAAUCAUACUCUAUUUUAAAUACACUCCACACACUACUAAUUAGGUGCAUAACCACCAUUAAGUGCUAAAUCACUGAUCAUCCUUCUUCUCAAAAAUUACCAAAAAAUUCCCAAAAUCUUCCAGAAAUCCUUCACUAUGUCUAAGCCUCAAGAAAAUCCAGGGAAGCUCUUACCUAUAUCUCCAAUUACAUCCUUGUCUGCACCCCCUAGCAACAAUCCUAAACCCAUAUUCCGCCGGCAAAAGAUGUUGACAAGGAUGACUGUAGCCACCAGUGCUCUGAGAACGGGUCUAAACAAAAAAUUGAGAGCCAGCCAGAAAAAGGAGCACUCUGAAAAGAAAUCAUCUGACUUGAGUUCUGAGUCUGAAGCUUUUAUUUCUACAACUCAUGGAGAAUAACGGGGGUCUUCUGACACUGACAAGAAUCAAUAAAACCCUAGGAAGGCAAAUACAUGUUAUGGUUCUUCUGAUGCAGUCGAUAAUGUAGAAAUUAUGUUUGUUUUAGUGGGUCCUUUGAAAGAUGUGAAGGGGGAUGAAUAUAAUCGAAAGGGAAGGAAAAAGAAAGACAAAAUUCUUGCAAUCUGUGAGAAUGUUGAGGAGAGUGGUAACAAGUCAGGGGGAAAUAACUCUGGGGACGAUGCUGAAGGUCUUGUUCACCUGAGUAAGCAACAAGUUAAAAAUGGUUCAUCUGGUGAGGAAACCCUAGCUGACCUCCUAUAGAAGGUUGGGGCCAGCUAUGAUUCAAAGAAGCGCAAGGCUUCUUCCCUAAAAUCCCAAACUGCUUCCAAGCCAACAAAGAAACCAAAGUAUCAUCUCCAAAGCCUACUGUCUCUUCAUUACCAAAGGGAAGAGCAACUAGAAGCAGGGUUAAACAAAGUGAGGAACAAUUGCAUAAAGCACUAGAAAAAAGCAGGAAGAAAAAGAGAGAAAAGGGAAGGCAAAAGUUAAGGAGAGUAUCGAGGUAGCUGAAGAAGAAGAAGAAAAGGAGAUGGACCUGGUCCAUCAAGAAAGAGGAACAACUGAAAAGGUGCCAUCUCCCAAACCAAAAAGUUCCAAGACAUCGACCAAGAAGACCUCCUUUGUACCCAUAUCUACUAAGUUCUCGUUGGCCAAAAGAACUAGGUCUGCCGGGAAAAGAAAACAAAAUAAAAUUAUUGAAGAAGAAGAGGAAUGGAGUGGAGAAGAAGAGGAGGAAUCUGAAAAGGAACAUGAUAGAUUUAUCCUCUUUUGAAGGAUAAAGAUAUUGAAAGAAAGAAUUCUGAAAGACCUGGAGGAGCCAGGCAUGAAAGGAUUGGUUGAUUACCUGAAUGCACAAGGGUGGAAGGACAUGGUUCUUCAACUGGAUGGCAAAUUGGCAAGAAAAGAGCUGAUCGAAUUUAUGGAAAAUGCAAUAGUAGUGAAUGGGGUUGUUACUAGUCUGGUGAAAGGAGUCAAGGUACAGUUUGAUGCUCCUAAAUCGGGGGAGAUUCUAGACAUUCCCUGUGUAGGAUAUGAUGAUUAUACAAGGCAAAUGUGGCCUUUCUUGGACUCUCUUCCUAAUGCACUCCAAAUCACCAAAAACUUUUGUAAUUCUGCAACACCUGAAAAUGUUCCUAAAGCUCGAUUUGUUCAGAAAAGUGAGAUGAGGGCUGAGCAUAAGGUGUUUUUUGAGUUUGUGAACAAAUGUUUGAUGCCCGGACAGGAGAGGAGGCACAACGCAAACUACAUGGACCUUGUUCUUCUGGAGUCUCUAGUGAGAAGAAAGCAGAUUAACUGGCCUGCUUUAAUUGUCAAAAUAUUGGAUAGAGUCAUCAACGGCUCCAAAGCUCAUACCACACCUUAGGGAUUCCUAUUGACCACUGUUCUAGAAAAGUUAAAUGUGCCUUUGAAGAAAUGGGAAAUGGCAUCUAGCAAAGAGCACUUCGGUGUCAAGACUCUUAUGGCUUGUGACUAUCCAGUGAAUGCCAACCCAAUUGAACCAGGUUCAUCUCAAAAGACUCCUGUAAAUAGAAAGGUUAGGGCUUUGGUUCAAGAGUGUGGAACAAAAGAUGCUGAAAUUGCUAGGCUGAAGGCUCGUGUUGCUGAAUGAGAAACUGAACGAGAUGGACUUAGAGCUGAGCUAGCAAAGGAAAAGUAGAAGAGUGAGGGAAUGCUUGAGAAUAUGUUCAACCUUCUCCAAACUGUGUUGCUGAAUUAGAAACUGAACGACAUGGACUUAGAGUAGAGCUAUCAAGGGAAAAGGAGAAGAGUGAUGGAAUGCUUCAGAAUAUGUUCAACCUUCUCCAAACACAACCCUCUAGUACCUCCAAGCCCUAAAGCCAGCUUAAAAUACCCCCUCUAGUGACCCAGAUUUGGGACUUUUCUCUGCUUUUGAUCAUGGUUGGAUGUUUAUUUUUCUUUUUGUAGUAUGUAUUGUAUAAACAUCUCCUAAUCAAUGACAAUGUGCUUUGUUUCUCUUGUUUUAUGAAACUUCUGAUCUUAAUAACUAAAUUCUUUAUGAUGUUGAUUAUGGUUAACUGAAUCAUGUUUUCACAUACAGUUGCCCCAACGGCCAUGAGUAUUAAAUAACAUCUGGGAUUCAUAUAGUAUGCAACUUUUCGAUGAUGCCAAAAGGGGAAAGAAAUAUUAUGCUUUAGUUUUUUUUGUAUUUUGAAAUUAAGUGAUAUUUAUAACCUGAGUAAACCAGGUCCUUAAUGAUAAGUUAAUUUGAAGUGUGAACGUGUAAAACUUAAACUGAGUUCCACAUGUUCUCUAAUCAAUAAAAGCACAGAGUUUGUCAUCAUCAAAAAGGGGAAAUUUGUUGGCCCAAGCUCAGUUGAAGUUUUGAAGAAUGACAAAUGAACUCAGUGAAGGAUCUGGUCCAUCUUAGGAGAAACAAUUGUUAUGGCCCAUGCACAUGAGAUGCAUGUGAAGAAGAUAACUCUUUGGGAUCAAGCAGAAAUAUCUACUGAAUAUCUUCUGAAUUGAUCGAAAAAAUUACAGUCUAUGCACAUGAGUUCCACGUGAAAAAGAUAAGCCUUUGGGAUCGAGCAUCAAUAUCUUCUGAAUAUCUUCUGAACUGAUCGAAAAGAUUGCAUAUGAGAUAAGGAGAAGAGGUCUCCUUAUGAGAAGAGAACUAUAUCCGAAUCAAGGAUAAGGAAUUGGAGUUUGAAUUGUUCUAGGACUCGAACUUGAUGAAGGAUCAACAAUUCGAGUUGUUGUCAAACUCUGAUUACUAACACUAUAAAAGUAAUAUUGUACUCUAGUAAAACUAUGCACAAAUACGAAGACGUUAGAGCUAAAUUGAGAGCAAAAGAGCACGACUAUUUUGCAAGAAAUUUACGUGAGAUCAAGUGUGCACGCCUGCAGCUACUUGAACAAGAUNNNNNNNNNNNNNNNNNNNNNNNNNNNNNNNNNNNNNNNNNNNNNNNNNNNNNNNNNNNNNNNNNNNNNNNNNNNNNNNNNNNNNNNNNNNNNNNNNNNNNNNNNNNNNNNNNNNNNNNNNNNNNNNNNNNNNNNNNNNNNNNNNNNNNNNNNNNNNNNNNAAUUGUAUUAGGUACGUUGAGUAUUCAAGUUAGAGUUAACUUGAAAGUGUCGCUACAGUUGAGGCUGUGUUCCACACUGGGAUUAGAGUUAAUCCUUGGGUUUACAAAGAGUUUUGUAAAUGUUGUUUUGGCUCAUUGAGUUUAGUGGACGUUUGGGAAAAUCCUACUGAGUAGUAGGUCGUGGUUUUUCACUUUUUGAGCCAGGUGUUUUCCACAUAAAAAUCUCUGUGUUCUUUAUUUUAUGCACUCUUAAUUUUGCAAACAGUCAUAGUUAGUACAUCUAGAAGAACCAGGUUCUUCUAGUGCGAAUUGGGUACCACAAAAAUCACCCCCUCUCCUCUAAUGUGGUUUUAUCGUCUGGAAUAACACGCAUGAUUCUAUUUUCUUCGGCAAUUGACUAUUUGGAGGUCGGGAUGCCUGAGAUUGGAGUAUCAUCCAUGAUGGGAAUUGUUGACAGAGUCAUUUCAGAAGACAUUUCGAUGCUCUCUUUCGAUCUUGUAAAGUAUUGGUGCAAAGCCAGAUUACCACAAAAACCAAGCACCGUUCUAUAAAAACCCGGACUUGAUAAACAACAACAAAAUAGUUAGUUAGAAACAAAUAACACAUAGGUAAUUGCAUGUUGCGGGUGUAGCUGGUGGUAAUCCUCAGUCAUAUGACCAUGUGUAUUGUGAAAUUCACAUACUAAGUUAUGAUUUCUUUGCAAAGGAUCUGAUUGCAUAGGCCUGGGCCACCUACAAUCUUUGAUUUUACUGAUAGCGAACACAGUGUCUGAUACAUCUAUGUUGAAGUCGUAUUCCGACAAGUCAGGCGCCUCUGUUGGCCCCGUGUUCCUAUCGAAUCCAACUCGGUUGACGAGUCCUCAAGGAUUUUGACCUCGGUCCAUCUUUCGGUUAUUGCAGGGAAUUUUAUGCGUCAGGGCGUUUCUCCUUGUUUCUCUUUGGCUCCUUUGCCAAAAGCUUGCUUGGGUAUACCGAGCCCGAGGGGGAUCCCAGUUGGCCGUCCUCGACCCUGAUUUUUGAUUGAUAUCGAUUGGGAAUGUCUGACCAGGUCACGGCAGGAUAUUCGACCAGGUUCCGUUGUAGUUGCUUCGAAGCCACCGAGCUUCGCUCAUUUAGACCUUAAGUGAAGGCAUAUAUUGCCUAGUCGUCGGAUACUGGCGGUAGUUCCAUCUGUUCCAUUUGAAUGAGAUAUACAAACUCUCGCAGCAUCUCAUUCUCCCUCUACUUGAUUUUAAAGACAUCAUACUUCCUUGUUGCUACUUUGAUGGCACUGGCAUGUGCCUUUAUGGAGGAAUCUGCUAGCAUGGAAAAUGAGUCUAUGGAGUUGGGUGCUAGGUUGUGAUACCACGUCAUGGGCCCCUUCGAAAGUGUUUCCCCGAACUUCUUUAGUAAGAUGGACUCGAUCGCAUCGUUCUUUAUGUCGUUUCCCUUCAUUACGCAAGUGUAUGCUGUAACGUGCUCAUUGGGGUUUGAGGUCCCGUUGUAUUUUGGAAGGUCUAGCAUUCUGAACUUUUUUGGAAUGGGUUUGGAGCUUCUUCCUCUAGGAAUCCACAUCUUUCAGGAUAGGGGUUGCGCCCAAAAUUGGUCAACCCUGGAGUUAUAGGUCUCAACCUUUUUGUUGUUGGCUUCUAUCUUCUUUUCACCUGAUUUGAUCCUCUUUGUGAGGUCCUCAAGCAACUUUAUGAGGGCGGAGUCGGCUACCGAACUGUUGUUAAUGGACCUCUCCGAUACUUGCUCGACCGGGGGAGCUGUCCCCGGUACUAUCGUGCUGGGAGUUUUCUAGUGACUCUGUAGCUGAGCAAUCGCUAGUUGUUAUGCCUAUAACAUUUCAAAAAUAACGUGAAGGCUAACCUCCCGUUCUUCCCUAGCUAUGAUUUCUAGACUUCUUGUGGUCUCCUUGGUGAACGCUCAUGUUAGUGUGGGAGCUUACAUUGACGUUUUGAGCAUCGCGUGAGACCGCAUCUACGGGAAUCGGUUUUGGUGCGUUCUCAAGGUUUCUUCGUGGUACACCAUCAUGUGGAACAUCUACACCAUUUUCUCCGUGGAUUUCAAGAUUGUUGUUCACUGAGUCAGACAAUUUGACCUAAAACCAAAGAUCUUGGGCAAGAAAAAGUCUGUAAGAUAACUUACAUUACGUAAUUAAACCAACAAAAAAAUAAUCACUAUUAUUUUACGGUGGGCGCUAAACUGUUUAUCGUGAAAAUGGUAAUUAAAAUUAAAUUUGAUUUUGUGGUUCAAAAAAUACGUUAUCUAUUUUAUGCUAGUUGUUAAGCAUUUAAUGCUAUGUGAAAUACUUAGAGGUGUUAAUCAAAUAGAAUCGUUGUCAAUCAGGGCCUCGAGCUUGCCUAUUCGAGGGCCUCAGGGUCGUGUUAGAAGCUCGGCUAGGAGCUGUCGAAGGCGAUCGAUGGCGAAAUACAGUUAUAAAUAGAUCAAAGGCGGUUUUUUAUGGCUAAUAGUAAGCAAAUAAUGAUGAACAAUAAAUAGAACACAAUAAAUAUGAGGAAUAAAUAAGAUUGUCGAAACCAAGAGAAGGUGUUAAAGAGUAGAGAGAAUAUUCUAGUAUAUUUAGUAUGGAGCAAUAGAUGUUUACAAAAUGACAAGGAUCUCCUUCAUAUAAAAGGGGGAAUCCCAACAUAGUACAAGUACAUUUAUUACAAAGAUAUGGAGAUGAGAUACCUAACUAAUGCCAUGAUACAGGCUCAGACUAGCCUGACAGAUUUUAUCUGUCCUAAUUUCACACCUCGGACCCCCCAAUUUUACAUAUAUAUAAAUAAUACAAAUUUAAUACAAUUUCAUAAUUAUAUUAUAUGUCAUGUGUUCUUUUUCUUCUUCUUCGAGGUUUAAUCUAAAAUUCAGCCAAAAUCAAGUCUAAUCUUCACCAAACACCUUAAAAUUGAGAUUAAAACUUCAAAGAAUAUUUACAAUUGUUUGAAAGAACACCAAAUCCAAACAAACAAUAAUUUUUGAAAAUUCAAAUUCGAAUUUAAUGUUUUGAUAUUUUUGUAAUAGUUAUUAAUGGUAGAGAAUCAAACAUCUUUAUAAUUUAUUGAUACCAAUUAUGUAAUAUGAAAAGAAAUUAUUAAAUUAAGACUAUAUAUUUAAACAAUUGAAAUUUACUAAUAAAAAAGAGAGGAUAAAAAGGAGAAAAAAACGAAUAAAGAAAAAUUAGAGAAAGAACAAAGAAGGAGAGCAAGAGAGAGAGAGAGGGACAAAUAAAGAGAAAGAGAUUACGAGAGAGUAUGUAUAGAGAAAUAUCUGAUUAGAUAUUUAAUUUCUAAUAUAAAAAGAUACUCAUUAAUAUUAAUUUAUAUAUAAUUAAAUUGUAUAUAAAUCUACCCACAUAAUAAUACUGGAGUACAACACAACAAAGCACAAAGCACAAAGCACCCCGUUACGUGGCCAAAUGACGUACCCACAUCCCGGCGAAAUCCGAGCUGUGCGAUUUUUUAACUGUUAGCCUAAAGUUGUCACAGUAUAGAGCUUGGAGAAAGCGGGAAAAAUGGCGAUUUCCAUUUUCAGGCCUUCUGUUUCUCGUCCUCACCACUUCCUCUAUUCAGCUAAUUCAAUUAAUUCUCAAAAAUUUAGCUCAAUUUCUGUCACAAAGAAGCCGAGCUUUCUUCCUUGUGCUUCAUCGGAUUCUGCUCCUACUCGGUAAAUAUGAAAAAAACUUAAAAUAGUUUCAAUAUUUUGCUUAUUUAACCUGUAAUCAUAUGUAUUUCAGUAGCGAAUGUAGUUUCUGGUAGCAAGUCUGGUACAAUUACUGCCUUUGGCUUAAAUUAUAUGCUAGUUAAAUUCUUUAGAAAUGAUUUAAUUUAGAUAAACUUACUGUGUAAUAGAUUUUUUACGCCAUCAGUAUAAUUUAACCUGUUAUAGCGCGUUACUGAACAAUUAUUCGAAGCUAUCAAUUAAGGCUAUUAAAUAAAGUUAUCUGCUAUUAGCUUUUUAGUGACCUUAUUGUGUAUAUAUAUAUUUUAUCUAGACAGUGGAUAGAACUUAAACUCUUUAAAAAAAUUGUAUAUUUAUCUUAGUUCGUAUCUCGUUGUCUCGAAGAAUUGAUGGUUAUGGUGUAUCCGCCUCUAUUUGUUAUUUGCAGGCUAGAGGUGUCAUUAUGUGUUGGAACUUACCUAAUUCCACAUCCCAACAAGGCAAGUAGUCAUGCAUAUUGAUCUUUUAAAAUGGCUCUUUUAGUUCUGUAGUCUUCUCUUUGUUUGGCGAUAUCACUAGCUGAGGCUGAUUCAGAAUUUCGAUUGGGUGGUUCAACUUUUAAGUUCUUACCGUGGAAUUUAUUGGACUUUUGAAAAUAUGGAUCCAAUAUUUGAUAUUUAUCGAAUUUUAGUAUUUUCUACAUAUAUUUAUAUUCCCUGCUGAAAGUUGAACCCAGUAAAUGAAGCUGCAUCUGCUUGUGAAUUCAAUACUACUACUUCCUCCCUUUCAUUUCAUAUGACUAUGUUUUCUGGAUGGAGUUUAAGGAAGAAAAUAAUGACUUUUGGCAUCAAAAGUAAACUUAGAACUAGUAGUCUUAAACGUGUGUACAUUUCUAUGGCUAUAAGAGUGUAAAACAGGAAGUUUAAAGUUAAAAGAGGUUUCAAAUAUAGUAAUGUGUGUUUUUUCUUAAACCUGCUAAAAAUGAAAAAGUGUCAUAUAAAAUGAAAUAAAGGGAGUAUUGCGUUAGCUCUACAUCUACCAACCACCAUUCGCUGUGUUGAAUGUUUAUGUUUUGAAGGUUGAGAAAGGUGGAGAAGAUGCAUUCUUUGUGAGCAGUGAUAAUGGGAGAGUGAUUGCUGUUGCUGAUGGUGUCUCGGGGUGAGAUGCUUUAUUACAUUGUCUUUUGGAGAUGGCUUUUCUCCUUUUGUUAAAGGAUUGUUGCUUUACCUAAUUAAUCUUAUUGGAUGUCCCCGAAGGGACGUACUUCCUCUAUCUCAUUUUAUGCGACACUACUAUUAUCUGAAAAUAGUUCUUUCUUUGACUGUAACUUUUUAUCAUGAUUUCAAGUACGUUAAUUGUAAAAAAUUGUGAUUUAUAAGAAACUUUAUAUAGUUUUAUAAAUGUGCAGAUGUUAAAUACAAUUUUAAGAAUCGAUGUCGGGUACUACAGGAGGCAGCAGUAGGGAAUUUUAUGCAAAAUUAUAUGUUUUAACUUUGAUACUCCCAACCCAUCAUUUUGUUGGACAAAAGGAGCAUGAACUUUGUAAACAUAUUAGCUUGGAAUUUUUUCUUAGUAGCAACUAGCAAGAUUAGAUAUGGGGCAGUUACUUGUUAUUCUGAACUUCUUUCUAGUUGUCGUUCUCGAGGAUUAGGACUGAACACACUCCUAUUUGGUGAUCCCUGUAACCGCAUGUUAGUGUUAAAUUAAAUCAACAGAAUUAGUAGAAGCUGCAACUUAUAAGGAGGUAAUCGCAAGUGGAAACUUUUAUCAUAGGAAGCGACAAGAAAAUAUAAUAUGUCAUUUAAUGCCCCUUAACAACCAAAUCAAUAUAUCAUUUAACUGUACAUCUAUACCUCGACAAGAGGGGUUGCUCUGAUGGUAAGCAACCCCCACUUCCAACCGAGAGAUUUUGAGUUUGAGUCUCCCCAAGAGCAAGGUGGGAAGUUCUUGGAGGGAAGGAUGUCGGGGGUCUANNNNNNNNNNNNNNNNNNNNNNNNNNNNNNNNNNNNNNNNNNNNNNNNNNNNNNNNNNNNNNNNNNNNNNNNNNNNNNNNNNNNNNNNNNNNNNNNNNNNNNNNNNNNNNNNNNNNNNNNNNNNNNNNNNNNNNNNNNNNNNNNNNNNNNNNNNNNNNNNNNNNNNNNNNNNNNNNNNNNNNNNNNNNNNNNNNNNNNNNNNNNNNNNNNNNNNNNNNNNNNNNNNNNNNNNNNNNNNNNNNNNNNNNNNNNNNNNNNNNNNNNNNNNNNNNNNNNNNNNNNNNNNNNNNNNNNNNNNNNNNNNNNNNNNNNNNNNNNNNNNNNNNNNNNNNNNNNNNNNNNNNNNNNNNNNNNNNNNNNNNNNNNNNNNNNNUCUCUACCCAAGGGUAGGGGUAAGGUCUGCGUACACACUACCCUCCCCAAACCCCACUAAGUGGGAUUAUACUGGGUUGUUGUUGUUGUUGUUGUUUUUGUUGUUGUACAUCUAUACCUCAAUCCCUAACUAAUUAGAAACAAGCUGCUGUCUGCUUCAAGGUUCAUACUAAGACCUCAAUCACAUUAAGAAAAAUUAUUGCUCGACUCUGCAAGUUUAGGCUAUUAUCUUUUUUGAAAGUUAUUAGGCAAAAGAGGUUGAUUCUCAAGCUCUGCCUUUGGAGCAUCUUCCACUGCUUAGCAAUACCACACUUUCUUUUUUCUAAGGAAGGGUUUGGGAAGCAUGUCGUAUUCUUAAGAUCAUCUCAUAAAGCAUUUAAGUUUACUAGUUUCUUGAUAUGUCUGCAUAGUUCCCC
rnacentral:lncRNA from 1 species